GAGAGAGAGAGAGAGAGAGAGAGCACGCCCAAACAUGACGGAAGCUCACCAUUGCCGGAACAUCAACAGCGGGAUCCCUUCACAUCACACCCGAGCAUCAGAGGGGCGCACGAAAUUUCAGAGAAAGUUUUAAUCAAGACCGAAAACUGAAGCGCUAGAACAUGAGCGCCAAGCUUCACAGUGAAUGAACAAUAUAAGCCCCAUCGCCAGACCGACUGACCAUCAAUUUUCGCCUCCAACGCCAGCCGAUUAACACCCAUGCGCCCAUAGCAAAUCAACAACCAACAUCCCACGUCCCAGUCGGCCUCCACCUCGACUCGCCAUUGGAAAAGCAAAUCUACUCCCGACGGCUAUCGUUGCUCCGGCCAGUCAUCGCAUUCGAUGGAGAAGACACGAUACGCACGACGAAAGACAUAUCAGCACGAAUCAUAGAAAAACUAUAGCCGCGUCUAAGGACCAACAAACGCCCGGAAUCAAGCCAAAAUCAGAGGGGGCAUAAGCGAAAUCUGGUUCGAGCAUUUCUUCAAACACAUGGCGAGCAGUGAGUUGGGGAGCAAAUAUUGACCUGUUGGGAGCUCGAGCGCACGCCCAAACUCAAAAGUAAUCAACGAGCAACGUUCGGAAUCAACAAAAUAACAACUCAUUCAGGUCCAGCACGAGCAACAACUAAAGAAAUCGAGUCGACUCUCACCUCGCUCAAGACAGGACAGAACAAUCUUACAAGUUAUAACUCACAUUUGCAUGGAAAAGUCAUCGAUAGUUUAUCCAGGAUGAACAAUCUUACUUACUGGCACAUGAGAUUUGAUGUAUUUAUAAGGCAUUUUGAUCACUGUUGGUGUUAUUAAUAGAAUGAUUUCUUUGAAACAUCACGUCAGACUCUUAGAUCCGCUUCACCAUUCCUGUUGUUAUUGAAUAUGAUUAAAUUUGACCUAAUUAUUUUAUGUAAAAGGAAAGGAGACGGAAAGAAAAAUUUAAAUGACCCUUUCCUCCCCUCUUUCAUUAGAAAAUUUGAAAAUUUGGAUAUUAAGUAUUAUAGACCAAAAAUAAAAUAUACAUAUUAAAGAAAAGAACUAGCGAACCUGGUUCAUUGAAAAAGUUUCCAUGUAAAGGAAAAUAUUUCUCUUUUGUUUUGUUGAAAAUAUGCGUGCUUUGUAAAACUAAGGUUUUCAAUCCAUCAUUUUGUACCGUUUUUAACUAAUAAUCAACUUGUUUAUUCGGUGAUUAAUUAUUAAACCCCCGCUUGCGUAUGUUGCUAAUAUCAAACUGUCAAUACACUAACAAUAGAAAAUUUUUAGUUGACAGAAAUAUAUUUCGUAACAAAAGAAGCUCGUAAAUUACUAAUUUCAUUAACAUUUUUGUAAAUGUAUUAAAGUGCAACACCUAUAAAAUUUGAGAAAAGUUGGUACCUAACUAAUUUUGGGGACUUUGGUAAAAAUAAUUUUAAGGUUUGUAUUUUACUAUUCACACUUAUAAAAGUUAAAAAAAUCGGUGAUUCGCUGAUUUAUUAAAACGUUGCUAAAUUUUUCUACUUUUCCUUGUAAAGUUACUAUUAAAUGCUCCCAUGACCCAAAGCUUGACACUCCCUUGAAGCAUCAGGUCAACUUCCACGGCCAGCGUCGCCAUUCCUUGGAACUGCUCAAAGACAAAAGUAAAAUAACGUGUGCAAUACUUGGUGUAAUAGAUAUUUUAUUAAUGUGUUAUAUUUGUACCUCAUUUUUCAUUUAUGUAUAUCCCAAAUCACCUACUAUAAUGUUCUCAAGUCCUCACCACCAUGCUUCUUUACCUAGCAACAAUGAAUUAUAAGUGAUGUGUACUUUUCAAAGGAAUUUAACUUUUAGCGGAACCAUUAACGACCUCAUUUUACAAUGUGCAAUGUUCAUUGCUCAAUCACAACGUUCCGUUGACUAUAAGUUGAGCCAUUUCCAAAACCUUUAUCCUUUUUGGCCCAUAGGCGAAAGCAUGGCCCGGUUCACCCUCUGCUUUUCAUGCAAUUUAAAUAUCUUUCCAGGAAAAUGUCCUAGUGUCGUGCCCGGGAGUAUGUUCAUGUAUCAGUGACAUCACGAGUUUUAUUAAUGACAUACGAGCGGGGUUAUUUGUCUCAAGCUCCGCGGCACGAUCUAUUUGAGGAAAGCGCCAUGUAAGAUUUUUACGAAGACCCAACUCUUUAGUACUGACAUUUAUCUCCUCAAGAAGUUGAGUGCCCAAAAUGUAUUUAUUGUUAAGAUGGGAUGUUUGGAACUCUUCGAGCACUUGAUAUGUCAUCAUUCAGAUAGCAAUGUCCAUGUCCCACGCGUACCAGUCAAUUUCAAUUUCCAAACAAACGAAUCCUCCAAUGCGACAAUUACGAAGUUUCAUUCACCAAGUCCCACUUUCUACUCUCUUUCGUUUUCCUUUUUAACUUUUCUACGUAAUUUUCCCUUAAUAUUUACACUGAAAAUACUUAAUUCUUCUGUACAUGGCAACGAAAGGAAAAUGAUUAUUGUGCGUAUGAACGAGGUGCUAUUGAUAGGUAUCGUUGGGUAUAUAUGACUGACUAAGGAGGAUUAGGAUCUGAAGGGAACACUACUAACAGGUAUUCUUAGUUGUACAAGAGAUUGAUUGCAAUCUUUAUAUGCAUGUUUAUAAAUAAAACUAAGUGCAAUUUAAGAGCCAAAAUCAUGAUAUUUAUGAAAAACCUAUAAGUAACAUAACCAAAUUUUGAGGAGAAUUACUGUCCUUAAAAAAAAUGAAAAAAGAAAGAGGUAGUUACUAAGUAAGUUCACGAAAAAUAGACACGGAUCUAGAUCAGCUCUCAAACCCUCUGGGAGUGAAGUAAAGCACCUGUUUUCGUUAGUAUGACGGACAACUCCCAUUCAUAAAGCAGGACACAAUGCAAUCAGCUUAAAGAAUGUCCUUGUUGCAUUUAUACCUCAGAUGUUUGGCUCGGAUCUCACGUCAUUGCCAAAAUUACAAUGAAGCUCCUGGUCAUUUAAAGCUUCAGGGGCAUGAGAAAUUGUCAUCACCAAAUGAAGAAUGAACAUAUUAAAGACACUGACUGACGGCCUGAACAUGUGGGAUGGACAUUGGCAUGAUGAAAAACAAGAAAGAGCGCAACAUGAUUCCUACCAGUUUUUCCACUGUACAAGAUGUUGCUUUUGGAUCAAGGCCAUGAAUCCAUCAUCAGAUUGAGCAAUCUAUAAGCACUUCAAUUGACAAACAAAGUGGUAUAUAGAUCCGUGGAUAUUCAUCAUCUCAACAUUGGCGUCCUGAAUUUGAGAAAAGUAAUAAUCUUAUGAUGGUACCUCCAAUGGCUUAUUAAUCCCUGACAGAACAAGUGGACAUAAACUACUAUAAAUGCAAUCCAAACCACAUAAACAUGGGUACUUGCUAUGAUCAAUCAACCCUUAGAAGUGUUAUUCCACAUUGGUUGAAUAAAGGGUAUCAAUAUGGGUUAUACACAUGCAGUCUAGCUCUAACUAAUACUUUAAGCUUUUGGGUGGAGCUUUUGCUAACAAUGAAUGAAGUUCUAUUUUAUUAUGCAUGAAUGAAUGAGAGAAUCGCAUAAUAACCAUCCUAUGCUCUAGGCAACCAACUUUAACAGUACUUGGAAAAAGGUAAUACUCUCGCUUCGCAUAAGAACAUAUUCAUGUCAUGUCAAGGGUGAGGAGUCUUACUCUGUGACUGAUGACGUACAAUGACAUCCAAUGUGCUUCAAAGGCAUUCUUAUCUAUUUUCAUUUCUCCCAGGAUCACAAGCCAGAUGCUGAAGCAGUGCAUUCAUUUAGUCAACCCUGAGAUUACUUGAAAUAAGAUGGGAAACGAUAAGACAUCGCCAAAACCCAUGCCAAUCAGUCGUCCCAUCAUCAUCCACUGUAAGUAAGAAACAAACCACCAGAUGAUGCUGGACCCCUCAAAUCCCUUCCCCUUCUCUCUGUGCUUGAUUUCCACCCUCCUCUGCUUCUUACCCCAAUGCUUAGAAUCGCACCACAUCUUCCGCAACCUCGUUGGCUUCCUCAUGAAAAUCCGACUAUACUCCCGCAAACCUCAGUCAUCUUGCUCUUCGUGAGGUAAAAAGUCCGGUAAUUUCCUGAGUGACUCGCACCCAUCCCUAUGAAAGCACUCCAGGAAUUUACUAGGGCAGCGAAUUUCAACUAAGCUUUUGCAAUCCGUAACUUCCAAAUGCUUCAGAUGCUCCGACUUUGAAAGGUCUAGUACUUGAAUGUGCUCGCGCCCGGAGAUAUACACCUCUUCGAGGGAUCCCAAUUUUUCAAGGCCUCGUAUCGCAUGGAGAUUAUCUACCUUUGUAUCCUCUGCAUCAACGCCAUAGUCGAUGGAGCCUGGGUGUAUGGCUAGGGUCAAACUUCUUAGGGAUUUUAAAGCUUCUAGUCCAUCCAAUUUCUUUAGCCAAUAGCAAUCCACGAGAUAUAAUUCCGACAAAAAUUCCAAAUCGGAAAGAUUUGGCAACCUUUCCAAUUUGGGACAUUUCCCAACGUGAAGGUCUCGUAUGCAGGAGGGAAGCUUUGGGAUGCUUUGAAGAGACCAUCAAUUGUGAAGGGUGAGCUCCCUUAAAUGCUUCAGGUGAGAGAGAGAUGGGAUGCUUUGAAGAGACCUGCAAUCAUAAAGGUCGAGCUUUUGUAGACACUCCAAGUGAGAGAGCUCUGGGAUGCUUUGAAGAGACCUGCAAUCAUGAAGUUCGAGCGUUUGGAGACGCUCCAGGUGAGAGAGCGAUGGGAUGCUUUGAAGAGAGUCGCAAUCACGAAGGGAGAGCUUCUGUAGAUGCUCCAAGUGAGAGAGAGAUGGGAUGCUUUGAAGAGACCGGCAAUCCCAGAGCCAGAGCUUCUGUAGAUGCUUCAGGUGAGAGAGCGAUGGCAGCUCAUUGCUUCGACAGGUGAGCCUCAAGUAUUUUAAGCUACAAGGAGGUUUUGGGAGUGACUCAAGCUCUCGACAACCCCAUAAAUCGAGGCACUCGAGAGAAGAAAGCUGAUAUAAGUUUUCUGGCAAGCCAGAAAAUUUUGAGCACUGUAAAUCAAGGGUCUUUAGAGAAGACAAUCCACCUUUAUCCAAAUGAAUUUGUCCUUCCAGCAACUGACAGUUGGAGGCCAUGAGCUCUUGGAGGCUUUGCAAUUUCCCAAUAGAGCUUGAUAAUCUUUUUAUGUGGCAUUUAAAAAUCUUCAAAAUUUUUAAUUUGUUCAAUUCCCCAAUGGAUUCGGGUAAUUCCUCAAUAUGUGUAAAUUUCAAGUCUAGCUCAAGCAACCCUCCCAACUUACCAAUUGAAGAAGGGAUUCGUACUAAUGAUGACUCUAGUGUCGAAGCCCAACUAGCAUUAAGCCUCUUCAGCUUCUUUAGAGAUCCUACACAUGGAGGGAUAUCUUUUAUCCCAGUGUGGCUUACAACAAGUUCCUCCAAUUUUUCUAGUUCACCUAGUUGCUCGGGUAACUUCUUGAGACUCCGACAAAGGCUCAAGUUCAAGGAAACGAGACGCUUGACAUCUCUAAUGGAAGGGUCGAUUUCCUCCAAUUUAUUACAAUUAUUUAGGAUUAGCAUCUCUAAAUUUUUAAACGCAGAGAGAUUAGGGGUGCUCUGUAAGUUGUGACACCCCGAAAGAUUGAGUACUUUCAACCUCUCCAUCUACAAGAAAGAAACAUGUUUCAAGAUUAGCAAUUAGAGAUAUAAUGAUUUAUCAUCAAAUGUAACAAAAGAAAAAGCCUUUUUCAUGUUUACCUUAAUUGAACUCCAUCCUCUCCAAUUUUCACUAAUACUGCUUCCAUGACUGUAAUUAUCACCAGAUAAAUCAAGUACGACUAAUUUCUCCAAAUGAAAGUUGGUCGCCUUGAAAGAGUUGGAACCUCCCUCCCACUUUAGCCAUCUUAAUUCAGCAAGUGAUCCUUUGAAAUCUCCAUCAAAGUCCACAUCCUUCACAUGAAGGAACUUCAAGUUAGGCAUUUUUUUGAAGCUCUCUUGCUUUAUGAACUCUCUGGAACCUCUUUUGUCCAAACGUAGUGCCUCAAUAUUUUUAUUUUCCUCCUACAAAAAAUAAAAUAAAAUUGAAGAUUGUAAAUACCAUCCAACCUCCUUUUGUUAGUAUAGUCUACAUGUUAUUGUGGUCGAUGCAUUUUGUCUACACUUAGAGGGCAGAAGAAAUAUAUCCGAUCUUCUACAAUUACAUGAUCAUGUAAUAUGUCGAUCUUCACUCGUAUGCCCCAUUUUUUGAUGUUUUAUGUGAAAUUCCUAUUGAAAUCAGUCUAGUUUUCUUAUAGAUUUUGAAAUUAAAUUUUGUAACAUAGGUAAUAUUGAGGACUGACUAAAUAUGGUGUCCCUUUGACAUAUGUGAGAACUAUUACACAUUUCAAAAACAAAAAGUACCUAAUCAAACUUAUGCAUUUAUAAAGUAUGACAACUUCCCUUUCAUAAAAUAUUUUUGGAUUUGGAAUAUGGCGGGAUAGAAACGAGAUUUUGGUCUUUUGAACUUAAGUUUUCAUUCAAGCUUAAAGCUCAACGGCUAAUUCUUAGACGAGAGAGAAAUUGUCCCAUCAAUCCUAAACUACCUUUGUAUGAAAUUUCAAUCUUGUCAUUUUUGGCUAUUUUUUGUAGGAAAUCAUUGACGUGGUGUUGUGCCAUGUAGGACAGCCGUAAAUGAUUGGAUCAUUAGUGAUUUCUAGUGAAAAUUGAUCGGAAAGAUUACAUUGGAACUUCGUGCAAAGGUUAAGGAUUAAAUUAGCAAAAUUAAUAAGUUUAUAAUUGAAUUAAUAUCCAUACAAUAAAUCUAGGAUUGCUUAGGUAAUUUUUGCCUAAGAUGAAUGAGUGCACUACUCAAUUUGUCAUCAUUGAAUUUGUCCCAAUUAGUCAUAAAAUUUGGCUUAAUAUUAAGAAUUUGGUAUUGUAAUUUUGCAUUCGCUGAUUUAUAUAGAAAUAUGAGUUAAUAAAUAAAGGUUUGCAAUUAUUAUCGUUUUCCUCUUUUUGCAUUCUAUAAUUUGUUUUUUGCUCCUCUAGUUACCUCAUUUGGUAAGUUAAUCAUCUGUUUCUUCUCCGCUAAUUUCUAACAAUAGAUUUUUGUCUCCUCUUUAUCCAUGCUCAUGUAUAAAGGCUCAAUUAAUCCUUACCAGGAAAGGCUUGCUUGUUACAAAAUACGGGUGGAUACUGUAUUACACUAAAAGAUACAAGGAAGAGAACACAAUUUAUUUCACCUUUCACCACUCCGCCACUUACUUCCUACAAUUAUAUAAUUUCUUAAUUUCAGUCUUAUCUUUUUAGUUUUUGGUUGAAAAUUUACAUCUAUGAACAAGUGAAACAACAUAUGUCAAUGGUUUAUUUAGUUUUUUCUGUCGUAAUUUAUUGUUACUUAAUUUUGCACAAUGUUAAAUUUUGUGCUCAAAAUGCCUAUGACUAGAACCAUGCAUGGGAGAAUAGCCUUAUGUUGUUACAACGUAUUGAAAUCUUGUAAGUUCCAAUAUUUCAUAUGAAUGAACAUGAUUGAUCCAUCAUACACAUACAUAACUUAUAAUUAAAACAAAAAAAACCUUAACCAUGCCGCUGCCUUUAUUAUUAAUGUAUCUUGAACAAUCUUCCAUCAUUACUUUAUGUGAUUUGUUACUUUAAUUAAAUGUGACAAUAAAAGAAAAGCAAAAUCUGUAAUUGAAAAAUUAAAUAAUUUUUUUUUAUAAAAUUUGCUAGUCCUUUAACUGACGAGAUAAUUAAGAAUUUUCUAUUAAUUAUCUAGUAAGAGUCAUCGAAAUUAUGCAGUGUUGUUUCAAUUUAUCAAUUAACCUGGUUAUGCAUUUCUAGAUUAUCCAGAAAAUUGAUAUAUGUCAAGAUGUUUCUCAAAUUAUGUAAGUGACGUUCAUUGAGCAAUACAAUUUAGACUAAAGCUUUUAUUUUCUUUUUAUUUGGUACAUGUACUAAUGCAUUUACAUUAUCAUAUUGGAUGUAAAUUGUGAAAAUGCAUAAUAAAUCCUAGAAACCAAAUUGUAAAAAUUAUUCAUACAUAUAAAACCACUGCUAAGAUCUUGUUACUUCAAAUUGAACAAAAACUUAAGUUGAUAGCCAAUAGUUAUGGGGUGCAAAUAAUUCAACUUAAAUCUUUCUUUUUGUUGCCAUAAAGUAGAACCUACACACGAGCUAAUUGCACAUGUUAACGAUUGAAAAUUAAAGAUAGGAUGAUAUAUUCAAUUCUUGAGGAAACAUUCACUUAUAUCAUAAAAAAGUAACAUUUCGAGAGUGAAAAAGGUGGACAACAUGCGAUUCAUGAAUUAGCAGAUGCAUUUAAGUAAAAAAAAAAAUUAAGUAGGUAUGUGAUUUUAACAUGUAGUUAUUUAUUCUUAUUUAACAUUUAUCGAUUCAUGUAUUUAUCCUCACAUCAACGUACUUCAAAAAUAAGUUGCUGAGAUAUUUUGGGAAGAUAAAAUGAAAGACAACAAAAUCAUGAUCAAAAGUGAAGUUUUUGUUAAAGUUAUAAUGACUUUUAAAUGUUUUAGAGUGUGAUGAACCAGAUAUAUAAGUGGCAUAGAGUAAACUUUCAAACCUGUGUGAUGCUCUGACUUCAAUAAGUAACAUAGGAAGAAGCAGUAACAAAUUUGCUAGAAAAUGAUGUUAAUAGCCCUUUUCUGAGCCUCAUAGUCACGAAUGCAAACUUUUCAUGAACGAAAUGCCAAAAUUGAAUGCAACUUUUACAAAGAAAAUGCUAACAGCAUAUUGAGAGCGGUCAAAGAUUAAAAGAACAAUAACAAUAAUAACUUGAGGGACUACCACUAGAGGACAUGGGGAAGGCCAAAAGUAGACAUAGUUGUUACCUUGCAUCCUAGAACUUUCAUGGCCUCCUCAUCCCAUAGUCUGCUCCGAUCCCAAGGCUUCUUAUUCACUGGAUGGGCGAUAGCUUUGCCUAGAUCUCUUAAUUGAUCAUGCAUUGUCAACGCAUGCAUUCUCGACUUAUCCAUUGUCCAGUCAUCCACCUCAUCAAAUUUUAUUAAUGAGAGUUCAACCAUUCUUGCCAAUCCAGAUAUUGGGGAAAAUUCGAGAUCAUCCCAUAUGUAGGUGGCGAUUCUUUUGUCAGUUCCAACCAAAAAACAUGCUAUGUCUAGAAACAUUUGUUGUUCCUCAUCAUUUAGCGCAUCAUAACUUAUCUUCAAUUUUUGCUGCACUGUCAUAUGAGGUGCCUUGCUCAAUUGCUUCAACGUUUCUCUCCAUACUCUUUGAUCUUCUUUUUCUUUGAGAAGUGAACCUAUAACCUCGAGAGCCAAAGGAAGCCCUCCUGUGGUGGCAACCAUAUCGCGAGAAAGAGUCGCAAGUUCUUUUGGAGGUGGCUUCCCUUCGAAUGCAUGUAUGCUAAACAGAAGCAAAGAGUUUUCGUAAUCCAUUUCUUGGAGCUCAUACCGAUAUGUAGACUCCAACAUGGCCUUAUCUAGACAUUUGAUGAACUUUUGUCGACACGUAACAAUUAUCCUACUUCCUGGCGAGAAUUUACAACCUCCAAUCAAAUUAUUGAGGUGAUCUUCAUGAUCCACAUCGUCAAGAAGAAAAAGAACCCUCUUCUGUGUACAACUGGAUUGGAUCAUAUUAAUCCCUUCAUCAAGAUCAUGCACUGAAUAGUCAUGAAUUUUUAUUGUAUUUGAGAUUAGUCGAGAUUGCACAUACUCAAUAUCCUUGCGACUAAUUGUUUCUCUAAUAUCUUUGAGAAAGCUACGGUACUGAAAUUUGUCAAAAAGUUUGUUAUAAAUGAUCGUAGCUAGAGUUGUCUUACCGAUGCCACCUAUCCCCCAAAUCCAAAUAAUUCGAGUGUCCGGGUGAGCAAUACCCACCAAUUUCAUAACCUCAGCCACACGAUACUCAAUUCCGACCAAGUUCCUUGUAAGACAUGGUUUAAAAUCUUCUCGCUGGCUGUGCAAGACGAUUUGUACAAGGCUAUUUACUAAUUCCCCUUCAUGCCUGUCAAACAACACAACACGUGAGAACUUUUUAAUGGUUCCACAAAACAAGGAUUGAGGAUAAUAAAUAGAAAAAUAUUUCUUCCGAUAAGGAUCUGUUAAAACAACGUAAAUGGCAUACCCACUGGCAAAUUUCUCUGAUUCGUAUACUCUUAAGAGUAAGUGCUUUUUUAAGCGCUUCCGGCCCUUGUUGCUUGACAUCCUCCUUAAAACGGUCCAUUCUCGAUUUGAAGGCCUCUCCAAAUUUCCCAAGCAUGUGUUUCACAUCCUUGGGUUUCACCUUGUAAAGCACGGGCAGUACUAUUUGUCCUCUACUUUCCUUGCACUCCAUAAUAUGGAUCAGUUCACGGAGGCACCAUUCGCUAGCAGCAUAAUUUUCAGAGAUGACUGGGAUUGAAACCUUAGAGCGCUCGAUUGCACUGAGGAGAUUUGCAGCAAUGUCCUCACCGAAGGGGAGGCUCUCAUCAUCUCUGAAGACAGGGUUUGGAUGGAACCUCAAGCCCACAUCGUUGAGUCUAUGGUAGAGGUGAUCGACGAAGCCUUUACGAGUAUCAGGGCCUCUAGAGCUCAAGAAUACGUGGUAAUUGUUUCCAAACACGGAGAUGGACGAAGCGGAUGGAUCAGAAUUCGCUCCGGACGCCGACGGCACAUCGAUCUUCUCCAAAGAGUCCGAAGAGGGAAGAAGAAGAGGCGAUUCGCUCUCGCACUGCUCCGACUGUCCGUGUCUUUGUUUCUUCGAAAUGAUCGGACUCGAAGCAUCGGUGUCUCUAACACGCUUGCGUUGUUGCUUUGAGCGAUGCUUUCCCAUUGCAGCUACCCCUCUCUCUCUCUCUGUGAGACUCGACUGUUGUGGAUGGUUUUUGAGGUGCUGGAAGAAGGGGGUGAGUACAGCGGUUUGCUUGUCAACCAGGAAGAUGGCUCCGUUCGGCUGCUAGUGUUUGUGCUGGGAAGCGUCGCUGUUUAAAGAGGAAGAAAGGAAAGCAGGAGGCGAGACCCGAUUAUUUUAGGGGCAUUAUAAUCUCUCCGAAUACUUUAAACAAGAUAAAAGGAAACCGUUCUCGACUACUGUUUCGGGUCGGGUCCGGUAUCAUCAAACCGACCCGACACGACCCGACACCUCCAGUUUUUUUUUUUGAGCAAACGACACCUCCAGUUUGCAGGAUGGAGAAAUUCACCUUGGAAGAGCCUAGAAAUCUGUACAGUGAAUUAUUUACCUGAAUUAUUUUCUUCAACAGAAACAAUUGUUAAAAAAUCUCCUAUAAAAUUUAACGCACAAAAAUAUUGGAUCUUCCUAUCUAAAUUAAUGCCAAAUCAUAAAUUUUUUUUUGAGAAACAACAAAUAACACUAAAGAUUUUUCUAGUUGAGCCAAUAUUACAUAAUCCACUAUAAUCAGAAAAUUAGAGUUACAAUCACUCACAUGUUCGCUCGAAUGUUAAACCACAUUUAAUUCAAAGUGUUUAUAAAUAAAUUAAUUUAAUUGUAUGUAAAAUUCAUGAUAUAAGAUUGAACUCUUCCUAUGGUAGAGAUGGAUGAUGCAGAUGGCUCAAAAUCACUUCGUUCUGGCGAGGUUGAGGAUCUAGAGACACCAGUAUCCCAGGUUAUCCGCAAGGGAUGGUCCUCUUCUUCUUUUUACCAAUGUAGUACCCAGCCACAAGGAUAAAAACGGGUGUGAAAUAAUGCCAGAAAAAUCUCAUUUUGCUCUUUCAAUGUGGGCGAAAGUACUGUAGUUUCCUUGGCACCAGAAAGAUUACUCGACUAAUGCAGAUAAGAUGGAGCAGGAAAUGGCUACUGGACUAUCUCUGCGCCACAUUUAUAGCGUCGCUCGUAAAUAGGUGGAAGGAAAGCAAGAGGCAAGGCAUUAUUACUCGACUAUUAAGUAUAUUUUAAUCUCUCUAGGUAAGUUGGUCGUUUCCUGUAUUUCAAGUGUUCACACUUGGAAUCUGGAGAUGCCUUCGUAUUGACUCAAAACAAACUACUCGCGUUGCCUUCUUGUGGUCCAACUCCUCCUCAUCCUCGACGGUGGCUUCUUGGCAAAUAUCCGAUGGAUGAUCAUUCCAUUCGCUGCUCCAAGCGCGCCUUUUCCUUACCACUUCCUGGAGACUUCCUCUUACACGUGCUUAGUCAUGGCCUUCUAGGCAUUUUCUGGUGGUGGUUCCAUCUCAACGCUGAAUGGAAUUAAGACAAGCUGAUUUUCUUCCCAUUUAUGACAGCCGUUCAGUUUGCCCGUGCUACGCCAUCGGAGCAUCGGGUUUAUUUUAUUGUCAUUUUUUACCACAGCAUUAGUACCAUAUCGAAAAGCAAAUAAAAGAACUUAAUGGCGAUAUUGGCACUACAAUCAUCUUAACAUUAGAGUGGCCUGUAGAUUGAUGCUAUGCAUGGGAAAAGUCUAGUGAAAUUGAUUAUAGGAAAUAAUCAUUCGAGAAGCAUACUAAUCAUCAUGAAAAUAACUAAUUGUUCUACAAAAUUUUUAUUUCAAAUAAAGUGGGAACAUAAAAGUAACUUUUUUUUUUAAAGAAAGUUAGGAUAGAUGUCAUUUAAGUGCCACAUAUAAGUCAUCCAUUGAUAUUGCUUUGGAGCACCGCUUUUAUUUUCAUCUAAUAAGACACAUUCAUUGUACAUAAUUUAGAAUUGAUACACGAAACAUAUUUGAUUUUAUAAACCCAAACUAAGCUCUAAGAAGUUAUACUUUCUUUUUAUGCUUAAGUACAUCAACAAUUUCCUUUUACUAACCUGUGAACUUUAAGAAAGGACAUAAAUUAUAAAUUUAAUUAUGGGACAUUCAUGUUGUGACUCCAUUUCUUUUAACUUUUGCUAUCAUGUUCUUACAAUUUUUUAAAUUAGGCAACUUAUUAUAAGGAUAACAGUUUAAUUAUAGGGUCUCAUCUUUCGCUUGUUAAUAAAAGGAUCUCCGACGAAGACAACUCAUUUAUAAAAAUUUGUCAUGUAUUAAAAGUGCUUUGCAACGUCACUUUUACAUUUAUCUAACAAGAUAGAUAGAUAGAUAAAUGUAUAUUGUAUCUAUUUUAGAUCUAUUUGUGAAACAUUUUCAAUUCAUAGCUCUAAGAAAAUAUAAUUUAUUCUUCUUGUUUUUUUUGGUGCAAGCACAUCGACAAUUUGCUUUUGACUAACUAUGUACUUUAGUGAAUCGCAAAAGAUAAUUUCUCAUCUGUCCCAAUCACUCUUUCUUUUCGAGUCGUCAAGGCCAUCACGACCCGCUUCUCUUUUAAGAGUCAAUGGAAAACGCGUUGUUGCCAGUCUAAAAGAAAAAGGAAAAAGUCUCAAGCACCGACACAAUCAGUACAUUCCCAGGAGCAUCCGCGUCAGGUAUUUGUCCUCUAAUUGAGCCGUGCAGCAGGGGCAUAAUUAGAUCUAGGAAUCAACGUCCAUAGGCUACCAUGUAGCAAAUAGAAAGUCUCCAAUAGGGAACCAUUUAGGGGACAUAAAAUAAUUUUUUCACAAGAAAAUGAAGGAUGGGGAGCUCUUGACGUGUACGUGAAGAUAAGGUUCAUAUAGUUUAGGAUUUUGCCUUUCAAAAUUUGUGGGCUUCAAUCUUUGUGGCUGAACGUUUGAAUCAACCUUCCUCUCUCCCGUGCAUAGUUUGAAUUCAUUCUCACCCUUUUUAUCAUCCUAGUAAUUUGUUAGAAGUCGCUUCUAAAAAUUUAUUAGACGUCGCUCCAUAUCUAGUCUCUUUAGCUCGAAUGACGAGUUGAAAAAAUUUAAUUUUUGCAUAUAUAUUCCAAAAUCAUUCUUUUUAUUCGAUAUAUAAUUUGAUUCAUUCUUGCCUUAUUUCCUAUCUUAUAAACCUGUCAAGAUUGCUUCAUGUGCAGAUCCCUCGAUGCCAGUGAUCACUUGUCUUCAGACCGGAUCAUUACAUUAUUAUUUUCAAUUGUUAAUAAUUUACUCAUGAUGAUGAGAUGUUAUUUUGUUGUAUUGUGCCACAUCUCGCGUCAUUUCUUGCAUCACAUAAUUACAAAUUUAUCUAAUAAGAUAUAUAUAUUGUAUCUAUUUUAGAUCUAUUUAUGAAAUAUUUUCAUGUUAUAACAUUAAUUCAUGGCUAUAAGAAAAUAUAAAAAAAAAAUUGCCAGCACAUCAACAAUUAGCUUUUGACUGACUAUGAACUUUAGUAAAUGACAAAAGAUAUUAAAUUUCUCAUCCGUCGCAAUCACUCUUUCUUUUUGAGCCGUCAAGGCCAUCAUGACCUUUUAGAGUCAAUGGAAAACGCCCUGUCCAAAAGGAAAAGGAAAAGAGAAAAUAUUGGGUGGUCCGGGACCACCACGUCAGCGUGGUCCCCGGCCACUCACGAGAUGCCAUGUGGAGGUUUGGGCCCCACUUGUGUCUUCUGCCUUCUUCCCCUCUCUCUCUCCUCUUCCUAGUCUGCCGAUGCCCUCUCUCCUCCUAGCCUGCACGCUCUCUCUCUCCUGUCAGAGCAUUUAUUGCGGACGUUUUUCUCUUUCCUUCGUUUGAGAAAGAAAACGCCGUUCGGACGGAGACUCGGAACAUUUCUUUCCUUUCGAUUUUUUGAAUCUGAAAUUCUCUCUCCGCGCUCGUUCCCCUGCCGUCGCCGAGCAUCAAGCGGCCGUUCCCCUGCCGUCGCCGACGAACCACAGUACGGCCGCUGCUACUCCGUUGCUCGCUCGCUUCUCUCUUCGGGCUCGUUGCUGCUCCGUCGUUCGUUCCGCCGUUCCCGGGGUCGCAGAUGCAGCACGCGUAGGAGAAGCAGGCCUCUUCGAGCUCCCCUCAACGUCGGCGAGCGUCGCCCGCCGAGCGAGACCCCCCCGCACCGGAAGGCUCGGAGGCGAGGUUGCUGGAGAAGCUGGUGCCGUACGCGGAACGCGACGCCGACGCCCCUCCGCCGGUUGCCUCCGUCGGCGUCGGAGUCCGUCGCCCCCGACUCCCACGCCGACGCCCCUUCGCCUCCCUCUCGCGACCUCCGCUCGCUCUGUCCCUCUUUACUCUGCGGAGCGCCCCUACUGGCCAACCCCGCGAGCAACCUCUUUCCGAGUCUCCGUCUCCUUCGCAACCAGGUAGACGUCGUCCAUCUCUCUCUCUCUCUCUCUCUCUCUCUUUCUGGUGUCACGGAUUCUUCUUUCUUAUUUCUGUUCCAUGGUGAUGAGCAAGUGUACUCUAGCUUGAUGAUGCAUUAUGGGUAGGUUCGUUUCAUGAGAUUGAAAUUAAGCUACACUGGUGCGGAGGUUGUUCGUAAUGGGAUGUGCGUCUCUUGUGCCGAAUAGAGUGUUGGGUCGUGCCUUGGAAGCUCAAAAGAUGAACUUUAGUCGUUUCCUUGUUCUGAUUAUUCUAUUAGUCUGUGAUAUCACAAGUUUAUUCGAUGUCGUGAUUGAAGUUUCGGUGUCGGGUUAUGUUAAUAUUGUGAAGGUUCAUGCUCUGUGUUAGUUUUUGUUCACACAAUGGAUUCUCUCUGUGGUGGGUUUGCAGCUUCGGUUUGACCAAUCGGCUGGGGCAUGCUCGAGGGGCCUUGAUCAACUCGAUUCUUGCUUUGCUGGCCAUCCUCUUAGAAAAAAGGCGGCUCGUGAUUAGUUGUGUAUUGGCUUUGUAAUGGACCAAGAGUCCCGAAAGGAUGAGGACUUCCCCCUCUUCCAGAAAUGCUCCAAACAACCUAAAGCGCCACCAUCAUCAUCGAUAACUACUUCCUCCUCCUCCAGUCUUGCAGCCGAGACGUCAAUAAAGCAAGUGGAGAAAGUGAAGGAGGAUACUAGCCUUACUAGUACUAAUGUCUGGGUAACAAGAUUUGAAGCUUUCAAUCAGAGCAAGAGUGAAAUCGCAUGGAGUUUUAGAUUUGAGGAUGACAUCUACUUCAACCGUUCCUGCGUUAAAUCUUUUUUACAUUGCAUUCGGAUUUGCAUUUUUGUGCCUAUGUACUUCGUCGUAAGUUUUUAUCUUCUGAUAUUCAAUGGUAGGAUGGGAGAAGGCUGAAAAUGAAGUCUUGGUGCUAAAGAAACAACUAGAGGCUGCAACACAAAGGAACUCGACACUAGAAGAUCGAAUCAGUCAUCUUGAUGUAGCUCUUAAGGAAUGUGUGAGGCAGCUCAGACAGGUGAGGGAAGAGCAAGAGCAGAAGGUCCAAGAAGCUGUGGUCAAGAAAACUGGUGAGUGGGAAUCAACAAAGGCCGAGCUUGAGACUAAGCUUUCCAAUGUCCAUGCCCAGCUUCAAGCACCCAAGAGUGAAGCUUCUUCAGUUAUCUGUUUCGAUCUCGGCCCUAAGCUUGAUGCUGCUGAAAAAGAGAAUGUGGCCCUCAAAGCCGAAGUCCUUUCUAUGUCGGAGGAGCUAGAACUUAGGAUUAUUGAGCGUGAUUUGAGCACCCAAGCAGCAGAAACAGUCAGCAAACGGCAUUUAGAGAGCAUAAGAAGGUAGCUAGGCUGGAAGCCGAAUGCCGCAGACUCAGAUCUUGAAAAAUAAAGCAAGUGCGACAAACGAUCUUAAGUCUUUCUCUGCAUCAUCGGUUUGUGUAGAGUCCUUCGAUGAUAGGCAAUCAGAUGUAGGGGAUAGGUUGGUAGCAGUUGAGAAUGACGUGCAGAAAGCGAGUUGCUUGGAGCCAAGUGAUUGUGAGCCGUGCCACUCUGAGUCAUGGGCAUCUGCUCUAAUAACUGAACUCGACCAUUUUAAGAAAGAGAAAUCCUUCCAAAAGAAUCUCAUGGUCUCUUCAGGAGAACUUGAUUUAACGGAUGAUUUUCUGGAGAUGGAAAGGCUUGCAGCUUUACCAGACGCGGACAGUGGAAGCUGCAGCCAUGGAGUGAGGCCUGCUCUGGAUCAAAACAGAUCUGAUGAAGUCACUCUCAAAUCUGAGCUUGAAGCCAUGAUCAAUAGAACGGCAGAGCUGGAGGAGGAAUUAGAGAAGAAGGAAGAAGAAAAGGAGAAGCUAGAGAUGGCUCUAAGUCAAUGGCAAAAGCAACUUGAAACGUCAUGGAGUCAGCUCAAUGAGGUUGAGAUGAGAUUGACAGAUCUCCAGAAAAACAUGUUGUCUGCAGCACAAUAAUCGAAGCAAGCUGUAGAGGAGGAAGCAAGGAUUACCCAUGAGAGGAUGGAAGUAACAGAGUCAAGACUGAUGGAUGUUGAAGAGGAGAUGAAAAACUUGCUCCUUAAUGACCAAUUGCUACAAGAAGAGGUUGACAGAGAGCGUGCUUUGUCUGCUGAAAAUGAGGCAAAAUGUGGGGAGCUGGAGGAUGAAAAUCUAAAUAUGAAAAGGGAUGCUGAACUGCAGCAUGAGAUCAAGAUUCAGCGUGUGGCUGUCUCUGAUGAACAGCUAAAAGUAAAGCAGGUUAGUUCUCUAUGGCUUGUGGAUGUUAGUCUAUAUCCAAUGGAAAUCAUGAUAACAUGAGUAAAUUAUUGAGAUGGUAUUGCUCCUUUUACAUAAUUUAUCAAGUUUGCUGACAAACCCGCUACUACAUUUUGAGUGGCAAUGUUACAGUUGCAUGUAGAGUGAGUUCCAUCUGCAUGAGAAAAUAGAGAUGCCUCUCUUGGUACAUUCACACCCUGUGUCUGGACAUAUGAUUUGGGUGCUUUUUUAUGAGAUAUGACUUCAAUCUCCAAGGUCAAUAGUUAUUUAUUUAUAGCCAUCUCAAGGAAGAUGAAAUGAUUAUUUUCCAGUAACGCAGUGUGGUUUUGAUCUUCAUAUUGACAUAUAGCUAUGUUAGAAACAGGAGGGCCGCAUAAGCAUCUUGUACUUUAUUAGUACAAACUGUAUGAUUGGGGCACAAUCUAAACAAAUCUCAAAUUUCACCGUAGCAUUGAAGACAUUCAGAGGUUAAUAUAGAAUUUCAUAGCACUUGACCUUUGAUGUAAUGUAAUUUUCGAGCUUAAAAAGCACUUACAGUCCUGCGAUAGGGUGCUUCUAAACUAACUUAAAUUGAAAAUUCUCAUGCUAGGCGAACUUUUUUUUUCUUUUUUUCUAUGGGUUGUGGUGCUUUGAGCAACACUGCGCUUGUUGACACCAUCGACUAUCUGAUAGGAUCAGCUUACCAAUGUUUUAUUCAUGCUGAAUGGGCAAUCAUGACUUAGUCUGAAUUUAGUUUCCUCCUUAUGUUCUCAUUUAGUUUUGUUACGUAAAACAGGAGCAAGAGCUAGCCGUCGCUGCUAGCCAGUUUGCAGGUGCCAAAAGACUAUUUUCAUCUCUCGCUCAGCAAUUAAAAUCUCUAGCUGCAGUAGACGACUUCUUCGCAGAUUCCGAUCCAAUGUGCAAUCACAUGGAUGAAGGAUUACUAAGCCCCGAAAACGAGCUGCACCAUUUAAGCAGCCCACCGGUCCUCAUUUCUGCUGAACAAAGAUGAAAUAAUCAUGGUUUAAGGAUUUGAUUAUUCAACUAGCUGAGGCAGGAAGAUGAAAUGAGUGAGGUGAUAUAGGAGGAGUGUCUACUUUGAUUUUUUGCCUUGUGAAUAAACAACCGCCGUUGUAAAUGCAUUCAUGACAUCUCUGAAAUCGACACUCGUGAAUCUCAAGUAUACCGUUACAUAGUCAGACUUUUGAAUGAUAAAAUAUUUCAAUUCCUUCAUAGCAUGUGGAUGUCCAGAUUGCUUAAAGCUGCCAAUUGUCUUGUUUGGUGUUAGUGAGUUGUAGCAGAGGUCGUAAGCUCAUCUUGGCCCCCGGCAAUCCCAUGGCGGGCCACCUAGAAGAGUACACAUGCCCCAAACUUUCUCCGACUUUCUCCGCAAGACAAAAUAAUAAGCGACUUUCACGACCAUUUUAUUUUGACUUUUUUUUUUCCCUUACUUAGGAAAAAUCUUUAGCUAGACUGUUUGGCAACUUGGCAUUCAGUUUUUCCACUAAAUCAAAUCAGAGGUGGAUAAUAAAAUGAAAAGGAGUUGCGUAGGAGCAAUACGAAAACUAAACAGAAAAACAGUUUAUUGCUGCUACCUCAAUUUUUUCUCCAUUUUUUGCCGAACAACCCUUUUCCAACUCUUUUUUUUUUGUUAAAGCUUUCCGAAAUAAAUUUGUACGUGUUUCCGUACUCAAAAUUAAUCUAUCAAAUUUUGCACGCACUUAGUUUAAAAUCUCAUCGUGUUAUUGAGUAAAAAAAAAUUUGGUGUCCAAACCCGAUACUUCAUUUUUUUUCUAUUUCUUGCCUAAUAACCCUUUUCCAACUUUUUUUUUUUGUUAAAGCUUUCGGAAAUAAUUUCGUACGUGUUUCCGUACUCAAAAUUAAUCCAUCAAACUUUGCACCCACCUAGUUUAAAACCUCAUUGUGUUAUUGAGCAAAAAAAAUUUGGUGUCCAAACCCGACGCCUCAUUUUUUUCUCUUUCUUACCCAACAACCAUUUUCCAACUUUUUUUUUCUUUAAAGCUUUCGAAAAUAAAUUCGUACGUGCUCACGUGCUUAAAAUUAAUCCAUCGAAUUUUGCACGCACCUACUUUACAACCUCGUAGUGUUGUUGAGCAAAAAAAAAAAUUGGCGUCCAAACCCGACACCCAAAUUCUUUUUCUAUUUCUUGCCCAACAACCAUUUUUCAACUUUUUUUUUUCUUUAAAGCUUUCGAAAAUAAAUUCGUACGUGCUCUUGUGCUCAAAAUUAAUCAAUCAAAUUUUGCACGUACCUAGUUUACAACCUCAUAGUGUUGUUGAGCAAAAAAAAAAUAAGCAUAUGAACCAGACACCAUUUUUUUUUUUCUAUUUCUUGGCCAACAACCAAUUUCCAACUUUUUUUCUUUAAAGUUUUCAAAAAUAAAUUCGCACGUGCUCCCGUACUCAAAAUUAAUCGAUCAAACUUUACACGCACCUAGUUUACAACCUCAUUGUGUUGUUGAGCUAAAAAAAUUUGGCGUCCAAAUCCGACACUCCAUUUUUUUUCUAUUUUCUUGUCCAACCACCCUUUUUGGAAAUAAUAUUUGGACACUCCAUUUUUUUUCUAUUUUCUUGUCCAACCACCCUUUUUGGAAAUAAUAUUGGGUUGUGUUGGAUGGCAUAUCAUACGACUAGUGAAGAUAAAAGGAAAUAUAGGUCAGUUCAUCAAGACGUGCAAUACGAGUCUUCAUCAAUACAAACAUUAGACGCGUGGGAUGUCUUUGGGAAACAUCACAAUAUUUAAGCACAGAAAUUGCGCAUUCCAUGUAAAGAACAAUGAUCAGGAGAUACGCACAAUCAAAAUUAAUCGAACAUUAUAAAAACGAGAAAAAGUAGUUGCAUCACAACUUCAAACAUCCCUCCGACAAAUUCUGUAGUCGAAGAACGUUUCUUAUUUAUCAGAACAUCUCUGUAGCAUACAUGGAACAUAAGUAAAAACUAAAGUAAACAUAGCCAUCAACUAGUAUUUCGAGUGCCUGUGACCAAAACCAUCCGAAAAAUGAACCUCCUCAGAAUCAGAGGUAGACGCCAAAGCCGACUUUAACUGCCAGUAUAAUGUGCCGAAAGAUACUUGUACCAAAGCGCUCUGCAUCAUCGGCUCAUGAUACUUGAACAAACUUGUCUAAAGCGGAUGUAUCCAAAGCUGCAAACUCCUUAACAGCCCCAAGCACAGCAAGUCCAAGUUUUACAGCGUCAUCGUGAGUUCGUGCCUCUAGCAGGUAAAUUUUGAAUUGAAUUCUUAAUCCAAUAAAAUCAUUUUUAUGGUAGCUUGUGUAAGAGAUUCCUCUACCUCAAUGUUAAGAGGAAGAACAAGAUCAUGAAGCGAGAGCCUCAGAAGGAACCAUCCUCCAAACCCAGAUACCCGGACCUGUUUAAGCAGCAAUCAGACUAGAGAUCAGCAUCACAUGCAAAAUGCAAAGCUCACCCAGUGUCUUGCGCUAUUCAGGGAGAAAAGAAGAGAGGAAUUAACUAGAUAGCAUGGUGGACCUGCAUUUUCUUUAUAAUAAAAUACUCCUCUGAGGUCACUAGUUCAGAUAUUAUUUUGGUAAGCCCACAGCAUUUUGCUCAACUCAUUGUGGACUAUAAUUUUGACUCCUCUUGUAGAUACAAAUCAAGAACCAACAUGGACUCCAUUGCGACAUUUAACUCUCCUUCUUGCUCCCAUCCCCAGGAGCAUUCAGAACGUAUGUACUUUAAUUGAGAAUUAGAGCAUUAACUUGUCUCCUUAGCAUACGAACAAGAUAAUACACAAUAUAAAUAGCUGCUGAAAUGAUGAGGUCCAAUCUAUUAAGAAUAACUUCAUCGAUUCAAAACUUACUACUCCUUCAUAAUUUACUCCAAGAGCUUCAACACUGCCUCUCCAUAGUCUCGGAAAGAUCUGUAACCUCUACACUAUCAGGAUCUUAGAGAAGGAAAAAGAAAACGACAUUGCUAGAAACCAAGAAACCAAGUACCCUCCCUUUAAGUCCGGAUGACUCUGGUUGAUCUUCAACCUCAAUUCUACAGCAACAGCUGCUUCUUCUAGACCCUCUACCAAAUCUGUUAAGACUCUGCUGCCGCUACCUGCUCCUGAAGCUCGAGCUGAAGCAAGUUUGUUGAGAACUUUGACCUAUAACAAAAUGCUUAAUAAUUAUGACUCAAAGCUUUAAGCUCGUGCAUUGCAGUUGGGGGCAUUUAGAAUUCAUCUCUGCAACGCUCAUCUAUUUCAAAAAUUUUAAUAGCAAUUUCCAUCUGAAAUUGUACUUUAUAAAAUUAAAUCACAGAGAUCAUGCAAUUCGAAAUAACAUUAGAAUUAAGGAUACCACUUCAAAAAUGUUUUAGAACAAAAUGCUGCCAUAGAAAAGAGUGAUCAACUUUCUGGCGACUCAAUGAUUCCAACAAUCAUCUCAUUCAACUAACCAAAUCAUUUUGUUCAACUAACCAAAAGAACUAUACACAGAAAUUUAAAUUAGCAAAUGGUAGCAACCAAAGAACUAAAAAGUGAGCAUCUGUUAUCAGCAAAUUUUACAAACAAAAGAAGACCAGGAAUCAUCAAAAAGCACAAUUGUAAAAGCUUAAUACCUUAAUUGUCCAAUCUGCAGAGCCAGUGCAGAAUCAUUAAUUGCUAGGAUCAAAUGCGAUAGAUCUCACCUAUCCCAAAUGCCCACUUAUGACCUUGCACAUACAAAAAGGAGAAAACAAAACACAUAACAAUCCCAGUAAGUUUCACCAAAAAAAAAAAGAAAAAACAAUCCAAGUAAGCGAGCAAAUAACUGCAGAUACAAUAACAUGGACAAGACACAGCUGUAUGAUAAAUUCAAAUGUAUAAUUAUCAAAUGACACCAUAACUAUUACUGAAACAAAACAAGAACUUUCUUCUAGCUGCCAGAAAAAUUAGGCCACAAUUCUCACCCUGUAGUUCUUCCAUGGAGGAAUUCUUUCCAUAAUGGCUGAGGUAGACAAAUUCCUAAAAACAGAGUGAGAGCAUGAGGCCAAAGCAGAUUAAGUACCUUAGAGCAGAACUUAAGAUGACUCAGUGAUCCUUGAAUGCAUGAGUCGAAUUAUAAGAAUCCAUGAAACAGCUUUUCAGAAACCAUUAAGAAAUGUUCUGAUGUUAUGAAAACCAAAACACAACUUCCCCUCGAGAAAGAGACGCUUUAAUGUGAUGAAAACCAUAUAAAAUCUUCCAAGCAAUUUUUCCUUGGCGUGAAAGAUUUAAUCUGAUGAUCAACAUACUGAAACUUCAGGAAUUCCUAAGUGGGGUGAUAAUAGUAUCUAUGGUCACCACUUAGGGAGACAUAAGUCACUAUGACAUUGGAUUGGAUGAAUCUUCAGGUCAUCAAACAAUAAUGCAACGUAGUAACAAGCCAAACUGUAGGAACUUUUUCAACUUUUGGAGGAAAAAAUACCUUUUCAUAUCACCAAAGACGGUUAAAUGUGAGAGAUGACCCAUACUUUCUAAACGUGAACGGCACAGCAGAGAGUCACCCAGGCAUUCAAGAAUUCAUUGAAGGAGCAAAAAUGCAGGUGCAUCACCUCUCUCUCUCUCUCUCUCUGACUAAUAAAUGAAACGCCGGACUGAACUGAAGACAGGUCAAGAAGGGUACCCAGUUGGGAAAACAUUGCCAUGGAGUGGAAAGACAACGGAUGACCCGACCCGAUUGAGAACCAGCGACGACGACGCCGACCCAAAAGUCAAAGGCGCCUUUUGCCUCUGCUCAGAUCACCUCUACAACUAUCAAAAGCAGCAUGAGACCAAUAAUGCACUCCAAGUGUAAACAGAUCAGUCUAUAGACACAAACAAUCACAUCUCAUAGUAAGAACACAUGUCGAAGAGAUAAAAUGCACAUCUCGGAUUCACAAUCCACUCUGUGAGGCUAACCUUCGUGCCGAAAGGACCGACAGGAUAGUUGGCCGCGUUCUUCGGCAGGUCGUCGACGUCCCUCGCGGAGGCGGAGGUGGAGGCGUCCGUGUCGGAGUCGGGGCGACGGAGGCAACCUGUGGAGGCGGAGGCGGAGGCGGAGGGGCGUCGGCGUCGGAGUCGGGGUCGACGGAGGGGCGUCGGAGUCAGGGGCGGCCGUAAUGUGGUUUGUCGGCGACGGCAGGGGAACGGCCGCUUGAUGCACGGCGGAGCAGCAACGAGCGCGGGGAGAGAGAAAUUUUCAGAUUCAAAUUUUCAGUUUGUCGGCGACGGACUCCGACGCCGACGGAGGCAACCGGCGGAGGGCCGUCGGCGUCGCGUUUCGCGUACGGCACCAGCUUCUCCAGCAACCUCGCCUCCGAGCCUUACGCGUGCUGCAUCUGCGACCCCAGGAACGGCGGAACGAACGACGGAGCAGCAACGAGCCCGAAGAGUGAAGCGAGCGAGCACCGGAGUAGCAGCGGCCGUACUGUGGUUGGUCGGCGACGGCAGGGGAACGGCCGCUUGAUGCUCGGCGACGGCAGGGGAACGAGCGCGGAGAGAGAAUUUCAGAUUCAAAAAAUCGAAAGGAAAGAAAUGUUCCGAGUCUCCGUCCGAACGGCGUUUUCUUUCUCAAACGAAGGAAAGAGAAAAACGUCCGCAAUAAAUGCUCUGACAGGAGAGAGAGAGCGNNNNNNNNNNNNNNNNNNNNNNNNNNNNNNNNNNNNNNNNNNNNNNNNNNNNNNNNNNNNNNNNNNNNNNNNNNNNNNNNNNNNNNNNNNNNNNNNNNNNNNNNNNNNNNNNNNNNNNNNNNNNNNNNNNNNNNNNNNNNNNNNNNNNNNNNNNNNNNNNNNNNNNNNNNNNNNNNNNNNNNNNNNNNNNNAAGGUCCCAGGAGCAAAGCCGCGUGAGAUAUUUGUCCUCUAAUUGAGCCGUGCAGCGGGGGCAUAAUUAGAUCUAGCAUCGACGUCCAUAAGCUACUAUGUGGCAAAUAGGAAGUCUCCCAGUAGGGAACUAUUUGGGACACUAAAUGCUUUGACUAGAAAAUGAAGGAUGAGGAACUCUUGACGUGUAAGUGAAGUUAAGGUUCAUAUAGUUUAGAAUUUUGUCUUUCAAAAUUUGCGGGCUUCAAUCUUUGCCGCUGAACGUUUGAAUCACUCUUCCUUUCUCCCAUGCUUAGUAGUUUGAUUCAUUCUCAUCCUUUUUAUCGUCCUAGAAAUUUGUUGGAAGUCACUCCUAGAAUUUAUUAGAAUUCGCUUUUUAUUCAGUCUUUUUAGCCUGAAUGAUAAGCUUAAAAAUUUCAAUUUUCACAUAAAUAUAUUCUAAAAUUAUUCUCUCUAUUCGAUAUAUAGUUCGAUUCAUUUUUACCUCAUUCAUUAUUUUAUGAAAUUGUCAAGAGCCGCUUCUUAUGCAAAUCCUCUUAUCUUAGCGAUCACUCAUCUUUGUUGAAUCGGAUCAUUACAUUUUUUUAUUUGAUUGGUGAUGAUUUACUUGUCAUGAUAAGAUGUUAUUUUGUUACAUUGUGCCACAUCUCAUGUCAUUUCUUGCAUCACAUAGUUACAAAUUUUUUUCCGUGACUCAUCUCACAUCUCCUUGGCACUGUAGAAAUCAUAUUUACAAGAUGAAUAGUACAUCUCCUUCCAGAUGCCCUCUUUUCCUUCCCCCUUCUUCUCUCCUUCCUUUUUCUUUAAUUUACUUUUGCUAUUUUUCCUUUUCAUUCCUACCGAAAGAACCUACUACUUUUUUUGGGCAUGACCGGGGGGAGAGAGAGAGAGUAUAUUUUAUUGAAGAAAUUAACGAGGUUGUGUUUGGGUGUGAAAGCACAAAUGGCUAGAAGAAUUUUUUUUUUAAAAGAGAGGAAAGUAAAAGGAAGAAGGGAAGGAUAUAAGAUGAGAUGUGACUGGAUAGGACGCGUUUAACUUAGGCUCCGUUCGUUUCGCGGAAAAUAUCAUGUUUCCGGAAAAUAUUUUCCUGGAAGUCAUUUUCCAAUGUUCGGCCAAAAUCUAAAAUUUCAAUGGAAAAUAUUUUCCACCGUUCGUUAGCUCAUUUAAUUAUUUGGAAAAAUUUAUCAAAAAUUGAAUUUUAAUGUUUUUAAAUGACCAAAAAAAUUAUUUUAUUUAUUUAUAUUAUUUUAAUGAUUUUUUAAUUAUUUAUAUUUUUAAAAUCGAAAUUAUUAUUAUUUUCUUUUUCUUUUUCUUUUCCUUCCUCCUUCCUCCUCCUCCUUCUUCCUCCUUCCUCUGCCGUCGCCUCCUUCCUCCUCCUUCUUCCUCCUCCUUCCGCCGCCGCCACCUCCUUCCUGCCUGACAAUGGCCGGCUGCCUAGCGACCGACCAAGACCCGGUGGCCAGAUUCGGCGAGCUCGAGGCUCAGCCGAUCUCACCCAAGCUCGCCGGAUCUGGCGACAGAGCUCGAGCUAGCCGAUCCGCCAGAUCCGAUGAGCCGCGAGCUCCGCCGCCGCGGUGCUCCCUCUUGAGCCGGAUCCUCCCGAGCGGCUUCGAAUCACCGGGGAAGCGGAGCGCUGCGGCGGCGGCGGUGCCACGGUCGGAGCAGGCGGGCAGAGCCCUGGGAGGGCGGAGAAUGAGGGAUGCUUCGCCCAUCGUCGGCGUCGAAGGAGGAGGAGGAGAUCAGAAACCCUAAGCGAGAGUGCAAAAAUGAGAAGGAAAAAGGAGCGCGAGGGCGAGCGUGAGAGGCCAGGAAAAUGUUUUCCUCUUUUCAAAAGAGGAAAACAUUUUCCUCAAAGUCAAGAGAGAAUUUUCCGUUGACCGGAAUAUUUUCCUUGACCAUGAAUUUUCCGUCCACCGAACACUGGAAAUCCAGGAAAAUAUUUUCCUGGAAGUUGUUUUUCGUGAAACAAACGAAGCAUUAAAGUCAAGAAGAGGAUGUGUGGUGGGGAGUCGAUGGCCGCACGUUACACGCUACGAGUCAAAGGUGUUGUACCUCAAUUAGAUUUGAAUGAAGAACAAUCAGAACCCCUCGUUCACUUUUCUAAGCGAUGCAUUGCAAUAUGUAAUUACACCCUACAUUGCAUUGGUCGGGUAGGUUUUUCUAUCAUAGUUUUUAGCAAAUGAAAGAGUCAAUCUUUCUAUCUCACGAAUCGGGACUUUUGUCACUUUCCUCAUCCGUGCGUACCACUCUUUUUUCGGCCCAAUUCCAAAAAAAAAAAAAUUCCCAAAUUUUAGAUUUAGCCCCAUAUCUAUCCCACACUUUUUUUUUAUUUCAAAAAAAAAAAAUCCCAAAUUUCAAGUUUGUCUUAAAUUUGCCUCGAACUUUUUUUUUUUUUUUUAAUCUCAAAACAACCUCAAACUUUAAAUCCAAUUUCAAAUCUAUUCCGAUUUUUUUUGUCGAAAAUAAAAUCAUCAAUUUUUACUCUAGUCCUAAAUUGCUCCCUUAGCUCUCUAUCCAAAAGUCGCGAUUAGUAGUCUCUAAUUUUUUUUAUCCUAGAGCUGUUUAUUUGAAGAUAAUUUUCUAUGCCGUCUUGUCAAUAUGUACUUAUUAUCGAUGUGGAAAUGCCACGUAAGUUGGGAUUGGACCAUGAGGUAAAUUUGAGGAUGAAUUAAAAGUUGGUGAUAUUUUUGGUACAAAUGGAGGGUAAACUUCAAAUUGAUAUAUCCAUCAACUGUCACAUAUCAUAUAACUCAAUAAUUUAACAAUAAAAUUUAACGGAAACAAUCGGAGAUUAAAUUUGUUACAUGUAUAUCAAUUUAAGAUUUUUCGUGGUCAAAAAAUUAAUUUGGAGUAAAUUUAUCAUAUAUAUCAAUAACUUUAGACAAAAAAAAAUUCGGAAUAAAUUUAGAACUGAACUUAGUGUUUUGGAUUUUUUCUAAAACAAAAGAAAAGUUCAAGGCAGAUUUGGGAGUGAAUCUAAAAUUUGCAUUUUUUAAGAUAAAAAAAAGUUCAGAAUAGAUUUUUUGGGCAAAUUGAGAGUAGACCUAAAGUUUAACAUUUUUUCUGAAAUAAAAGAAAUGUUUGAGGCAGAUUUAAGAAUGGGCGUAAAAUUUAAAUUUUUUAAAUAAAAAAAUUCGAGAUAAAUUUGAAAUUAAACUUAAAAUUUGAUUUUUUUUCUUUUUGGAAUUGACCCCCUUCUUUCCGCGUCGGCAAAGCCACAAAACUCUUCUUCUUGGCGUCAAUGUGAAACAUACUGGUGUCCUCCAACUAUUCAAAAGCCAAAAAGGAAAAGCACCCACGUCAAUCAGUACCUUCGCCGAAUCGUCAGCCAAAAGAUUUGUCCAAGGACGCUUUAUUCUCCCCUAUUCUCCCCUAUGCGCAGAAUUUGACAAGGGAUACAGUAACUCUUGUCUUCAACGAAAAAAAUCAUUUGAAAUCAACGUCUACUUGUCGAGUCUAUUGUGUAGGAAAUAGUAAGGGUAAAUAGUAGGUAACUAUUUGGCAGAUGUACAUGAAGAUGAGGAGCUAUUGAAGUCAUCCAUGAAAGCUCAGGUUCUUUCAAAGUUUGCAGGCUUCAAAUUGAGGUGAGAAAGAAAGAGCUGGCGGUAAAGAAAUAAAAAAGAGUUCGCUUCCCUCCAACUGUUUUUGCGUGUCAUGUGAAAAAAAAACAAUUAUAAUAGUAAGUGUAAGCUUCCAUUAAUCAUAAAUUAGGUGUGAUAGUUGGGUGAUAUAUAUUUUAUUUGUGUGUUAUAUUUAUACCGCAUUUUAAAAUAAGUAUGUCAUAAAUUGCUCAUUAUAAUUUUUUCAUAUUACCAUCUUCAUACUUCUGUGCCUAAUAACAAUGAUGAAUGAUAUCUACUUUUAGGACGAAUUUUAGUCCAAGUCCAAUUUAACAUAAUUUUCCAGUGAAACCAUUAACGGCCUCAUUUUUUUAAUUAAAAGUUUGAAGACAUGGCAUAAUUUUUGCGAUGCACUUAGCUCAAAAUUGGAUACUCGCACUGGUCGCCUGAUCUGGAAUAGUACCAAAUCCACAUGGGGGGCAUGAAAUGACGUUUUCUUUGGCCAAAAUAGAGACUAGAAAAGGCACAAUAGAAUAUCUUACUUACAAAGCUUUGUAUCUUGACUAUAUCUUCCGGUAGCUUUACUCGUAUCCAAUCCUGAUUUGAACACUUGAUUUCCUUCCGACUCAAUGAUUCUCCUUUCCAUGUCUUCUUGAUCUUGAGGUUAAUUAGCUAUUUAUUAUGUUCUGCGAAAUCACUAUUAAAAUCAAUAAGGAUAAUUAUCAUUGAUGAAGUAUUGAAUUUUUCUAUCGAUUACCUAUGACAUAUCCUAAAUUAAUCAUCUUGACUUCCAGCUUUUUAAUAGUCUAUCAUGAUCUUUCCGAUGCAUAUAUCUACCAAAAAUAAAGAACCGGACAUUCAAGAUUCAAUUAUGUGAUCCUUUGACGACACUAAUCAUUCUCUCUAACUUAGGUUUUCCCACAUUUUUAUUUAACAUAGAACUUUACUUGGGACUCUUUCUUCAAAUCAAUUUUGGCAUCCCUAGCAUAACAUUCUUUUUUUUUUUGGCUGCUGGAGGAAUCGCUUUGACUAAUAGCCACCACGUAAACUCCCAGGUGGCGAUAGCAGGGAAACCACCACCCCGACGCCAUGCGUAAAUCGCCUAAUAAUCCGCCAACCUCCCUGCAACUUGCGUUGCAGGGCCUUCGAACUCCCGACCUCCCGUUUGGAAGUCUGGAGCCUACCCAACGGAGCCACCACGGCUGGUGGUCCCCAGCAUAACCUUUUGAUACAUAGAAAGAGGGUCCUUGGAGUAGGCAAUGAACAUGAACCUUCAAAAGCCACAAAAUCCGAGAUCUGCUCAGCUAUCUACUGAUGCUUGCUCUUUUCUAGAAAAAAAUUUCACUUUUUUUGUGCAUAAUGUGAUGAAGGAUUAUCGAUUAAUUUGGAGCUAUUUCUGUGGUUGAUCAAUUACUAUUGAACAAAAGAAAAAGAAAUUGUUACUGAAAAUGACACUGUUUCUCCAUUUCAUUGAUGAGCAAUAGCUUUACUCAUCUACACAUGCCUGGAUUCACAUUCUUGAAAAUGUAUAUUACGGAGCGGAUAUAGAGAAAAUGGUGCAAGGGACUAAUGGGAAAGGAGAUAAAUGAGUGAGAUUAAUAUGCUUGCAAGGGCUAUGUUGUUCCACAAUGUCACUAAACCAUCUCUUCAUUCAUGAGCCAAACUUAAUCACUGUUCUGAGGUCUGGGGGUGGAGUUUGUGGGGGAGCAAAUGCACUAAUGCUGGCGCAACAUCAACAUUUGCUUUCUAUUAUAAAAAACACAUGUCUAGAUUUUCUCUUUCUCAUGGAUCGAUCCGGAAUAAUGACUUCCUCAAAUACUCUGGCUCGUCAAAUGUGCUAAGCGAUGACGAUGAUGAAUAAAGCAGGUUGUGUCAUCCACAUAGGUAUAUUGGAGUUGUGAAAUUGAGACCUGGUGGGUGUUGUGCAGAUGAUUAUUCGAGCCAGGAGUGCAGCCAGAACUUAUUGAACUGCAUGACCAACUUCAAGAACUUGGGAGGCCGAACAUUUAAAGGAAGCAAAUGCCAAGUCGAGGAUGUUGUCGACAUCCUCUGUGUUGUCAUGGAAGCUGCAUUGCUUGCCGGAAGAUAUCUCCACAAGCCCUGAAUCUCUAUCCAUGUUCUAGGGAUAUAUCAAAUCGGAUCCCUUCAUUCACUUUGUGAUCAUCCCUUUGUUCUUUGAUUUUUUUUUUUUUUUGCUUCUAGCUGUUUUCUGUGUCUGUUCUUAUUCUAUUGCAAAAAUGGGAAAAAGUAAAAAGAAAACUGUGAAGUGCCUUUCUUUUCCUUUCCUAUAGAAUUGGAAGAGCAACGGACAAUGAGCAUGGAGUUCAAUUUUAAUUGCAGAAACAAGAACUUAAAGUGGCAUGGAGCUCAAAACCAAAGGUCCACGUACAAAUUUAGAACGCAAGUAAUGUGAAUGAACAUACUGGUCUCUACUUCUACACUUAAUUAAGUAAUGCUAACAAACUCAUGAUUAAGGCGAAGGAAUUUAAUUUUAUCAAUGAGAAAAGACCUUUGAAUUGAUGAGAAAUAGCUUUUUGCUAUGCUAGCUAUCAAAAUACAUUCUCUCCGGAGCAAAAGAAUUUCAAAUCAUUGAAUAUGGACUUAGUUUAUGCUAAAUCCUAAAACUCUGCAAAUGCGCCCUUUGUUUCUAGUGUUAUGAUGUUCAAUCUUUGGCGUAAGGAAUCACACGAUCUCUGGUUGAUAUUUUCCUCGAGUUCAUAAGAAAAUUGCUGUGAAGUGUCAAUCCUUCAACAAAUCAAGAGUUCUAUCAAUAUAACUUUAGAGUCUCAAGCUACCUGAACUGUCAAGAACAAUCAUUACAGAAUAGCAACCUUCAUGAAUUGCGUCAAUUCAAACAAAUGCUUCAACAAAUUGAAAAACUACCAAUAAGAAAGGCAUUAACAGCUCCUGCAAAUCAUGCCAUAAUGUGCCAUUGAGGAAUCUCCAUCUUUCCAGAGUUGUCUUGAGACCAAAACUCUCACAAAGCAAUCACAACGUCCAACUCUGCAUUCAUCUCGGUGACAGAACAAAUAAUCCAUUUUACAGUUGUUGGAGAAAUCUUCUUGAAGUGUUUUGAAGCUGACAAAACGUUUCUAUCAGUCUAGUCUGAAGGCUUGCAAACUCUGCUAUUUAAAGUCUGAAGACUUCCGGACAGCCAGACUCAAGACUCAAAGUCUAUCCUCAUUGACAGUCUCUAAUCCGUUGAAGAAAGGCUAUCCAAAACUGGAUGUUUCGUCAAGGAUUUAACCUUAUCAACUGGAGAAGAUCUCGUGGCUGGAAAAGACAUAAUGGAAUCCUUUGAUUGAUCGAGAUUGACUCGAUGAUUGAAGAUCCGGUGAUUGACUAAAUAUUAUUGGAAGGUUCUACUUAUGGAAACCGAGAUCCUGAUUGUAUGGGCGAACAUGAUUGAUGGGCUAUCGACACAUUCCUUUAAUAGCUUGAACGAUCUUCCUAAUUGAUUCCGUCCAACGGGUAGAUUGGAGGAAUUCCUUUGGUAAGUGCCAACGGGUAUGAUGGCAUAAAGGAGUAUAUAAGGAAGACGGUCUUAGUUGUUGAGGUGUGCGCGAUAGAAGAAUUCCAAAGUCUGAAGCUCUUUUUUGUUUAGACAAUUCCUUUGAGCGAAUACUUGUAUACAAAAGAGAGUCUAUAUUUGUGAGAAACCUUGAGGAGGUGUGAUAGAACAUCUACACUGUGGAAUCAAGGCAAAGCUGUGCUGUAACUUCUCUUUUGAUCAUAGUGAAAUCCAGCCGGUGGGCUGUCAGUGCGGAAGAGUGGACGUAGGCUUGGAAUAAGCCGAACCACUAUAAACCCCGUGUUCAAUUUUCUCUUCCUUACUCUCUUUACUUUGAUCGUACUUCAUUUUCGCUAAUCAUAGUAAACUNNNNNNNNNNNNNNNNNNNNNNNNNNNNNNNNNNNNNNNNNNNNNNNNNNNNNNNNNNNNNNNNNNNNNNNNNNNNNNNNNNNNNNNNNNNNNNNNNNNNCUCUAGGUGAUUAUACUAGCUAUCACAAUUGGUAUCAGAGCCCGUGUACUCACAUUGUUUGAAGUGUUUUACUUCAGAGUUAAAGAUCCAUGGCUAGUAUGUUGGCUCCAGGGCUGGUAGAAGGGCAAAGCAACACGAGACCUCCUUACUUUGAUGGAAAGGACUACAACAUAUGGAAAAACAAGAUGAAGGCGUUCUUAAGGUCAAAGGAUCCUCUGGAAUGGGACGUUGUAGAAAAAGGAAUCGUUCCUAAAUCUGCUCCUGUCUCAGAAAGAGGAAAAGACUCUGUUGAGUCUAGUGAAAUGACUCAGGAAGAGAUGAUCAAGAGACAAGCUCUUGAUGCAAAAGCAAUUUAUUCUUUAUAUUGUGCUUUAUCACCUACUGAAUAUAACAUAAUAUCUUUUUGUGAUACAGCCAAAGAAGUCUGGGAUAGAUUACACAUCACAUAUGAAGGAACCGAUCGAGUGAAAGAGACAAGAAUCAAUAUUCUUCUUGGUCAAUACGAAGCCUUCAGAAUGAAACCAGAAGAAUCUAUCACUGACAUGUUUAGUCGUUUUACAGAUAUCGUGAAUGGUCUUGAAAAUCAAGGUCAACCAAUUUCUGAUCCCAUGAAAGUAAACAAGUUACUGCGUGGACUCUUCAAGGAUUUGAAUCAUAUAAAGACCUCAAUCAGGGAGACCCAAAGAAUCAUGCCACUGUCUGUCAAUGAGUUGGUUGGGACUCUUCAAUCCUAUGAAGUGGAACGAAUCAAUGAAGACGAAGACCCUAAAGGUAAGAAAUCUAUUGCAUUAAAAUCUAAUGACGAUUCUGAUGUAACAGAUUCUGAAGACGAUGUGGAUGAUGAAGAACUUGCUCUUAUGAUAAGAAGAUUCAGAAAGCUGAAUAGAAAAGGAAAAAGAUUCAAUGCAAAUAAACAAAGUUUUCAAAAGCAACAGACCAAGUCUGCUGAAGAUGAAGAAUCAAACAAAGAUGUAGUCUGCUUUGAAUGUAAAAAAAAGGGACACAUCAGACCCAAUUGUCCUCUUCUAAGGAAGAAGAAAGGAAAAACUGAAAGAUAUGGAAAAGCUCUCAAAGCUGAAACCUGGAGUGAUAUAGAGUGCGAAGAUAGUGAUGAUGAUUAUGCCAACAUAUGUCUAAUGGCACAAUCAGAUUCAGAAUCAAACUCCGAGAUUGAUUCAGAUUCAGAAAGUGAAUUCGAGGUAAGUAACUUCAAAAUCCCUAUUAAAGUUUCAAAAUACAUUGAUGAAUUAUGUUUUAGUCUUAAGACUUCUCUUAAAAGAAUUUCAGAACUCAAAAAGGAAAAUUCUGCUUUGAAACAACAAGAGAAUGUUUUGGAGAAAAAAAUGAAAUGCUUAGACCAGAAUGUUUCUUCUCUCAAAGAAAGUGAAAAUAAUCUUUUAAAAGAAAAUGCAUUCUUGAAAAAUGAUAUUUCAAAUAUUUCCAAAAGAUUUUCUUUAGGUUAUGAAAAACUGGAGAAAAUACUUUCUGUUCAAAGACCUUAUUUCAAUAAAUCUAGAUUGGGAAUGACUGCUGAAACUAUUCCUUUAAUCGAUUUUCCUAAAGUAAAAGAAAGAAUCAAGCAAAGACCUACAAGAAACGCUUACAAAAAUCAUUUUGAAAGGAACUUUGUAAAACUAGUAGGUCGCAAUGCUCUUAGAUGUUCAAAAUGCAAUAGUGCAGAUCAUUUUGAGAAAGAAUGUCCUAUGGUUUGGAGACCUGUCAAUAAAGUCUGGGCAAAAACCGUAUAUCAGACUAACUCAAAAGGACCCAAGAAAAUAUGGGUACCAAAGAAAGCUUGAGUUUCUUUUUGAAUGCAGGUCACUAUCAAGAAAAAAGUGAAAUGGUAUCUGGAUAGUGGAUGCUCCAGACACAUGACAGGAGAUUCAAAUUACUUCGUAAAGCUCGUUCAAGUGAAUGGUGGAAAAGUCUCAUUUGGAGGAAACAUCAAAGGAAAAAUAGUGGGAUUUGGAACUGUAAAGAUUGGGAACCUCACAAUAAGCAAUGUUUCUUUAGUUGAAGGGCUCAAUUACAAUCUGCUUAGUAUCAGUCAGCUUUGUGAUGCCGGUUUUAGAAUCAACUUUCAAGAGGGUAUUUGUUCAGGAACCAGUAAAGACUCUACUCAGUCAUUCAUGGGUUGAAGACAUGGGAAUAUCUACCUCUUAAACGUGAAACCAGAUGAAUCGUAAUGUCUAAUCUCAAUCCAAGACGAAGCAAACUUAUGGCACAAAAAGCUUGGGCAUAUCAACAUGAAGCAGAUAGCCAAAAUCUCAGCAAAGAAGCUUGUUCGUGGUCUACCCAAUUUAUCAUAUCAAAAGUCCGAUCUAUGUACACCAUGUAUAUUGGGAAAACAGGUAAGAAAUUCCUUUAAACCAAUAAAUCAAGUUUCCACUAACCGUGUACUGCAGCUCUUGCAUAUGGAUCUCUUCGGACCAACCAGAACGCAGAGCAUUGGAGGUAAGAAAUAUUGUCUAGUAAUUAUGGAUGACUACUCACAAUUUACUUGGGUAUAUUUCUUGGUAAGUAAGUCUGAAACUUUCUCUUACUUUGAAAAAUUUGCUAAGAAGGUUCAAAAUGAAAAGGGGUAUGUAAUUUCAAGUAUAAAAACAUAUCAUGGAGGUGAAUUUGAAAAUCAAGACUUUGCAAAAUUUUGUGAUGAAUCUGGUUUUCAACAUUUGUUCUCCUCUCCAUAUACUCCAGAGCAAAACGGAGUCGUAGAAAGGAAGAAUAGAUCUCUUCAAGAAAUGGCUAGAACUCUUUUAAUUGAAAGCAAUAUCUCUUUACGAUUUUGGGCUGAAGCAGUUUCAAUAUCAUGUUAUAUUAUCAAUAGAGUCUUUCUAAGGCCUAUUCUAGAAAAAACCCCCUAUGAACUAUUUAAAGAAAAGAAGCCAAUUGUUUCAUAUUUUCAUGUUUUCGGAUGCAAAUGUUUCAUAUUGAAAAAUGCAAAUGAUCGAGUUGGUAAGUUUGAAGAAAAGUCAGAUGAAGGCAUCUUCCUUGGAUAUUCAACCACAAGUAAAGCGUACAGAGUCUACAACAAGAAGACUCAAAUUGUGGAAGAAUCAAUGAAUGUCAAUUCCAAGAUUUCAUUCAAAAUAAAUCCAUUCAUACUCAUCUAGAAGAAACUGAAUCUGCUCCAAACUCAACAAAGUCUAAAUCUCAAGAAGCAGCUCAGAUUUUGAAGGAUCAGCAACAAGUAACUGUUGAAGAUUCAAGUGAAGGAAGUGAUCAUCAAUUAAUCGGCAACUGGAAACAUAAGUCCAGUCAUCCCGGAGAUCUUAUUAUUGGCGACAUCAAUGAAGGAAUUCGCACAAGAUCCAAAAGGCGAGAAGAGUCUAGUGCCGUGGCUCUUAUUUCUGAAAUAGAACCCAAGAGCAUAGAAGAAGCUUUAUCUGAUGAAAGCUGGAUUGAAGCUAUGCAAGAAGAACUCAGACAAUUCAAAAUUAAUGAUGUCUGGGAAUUAACUCCAAAACCGAAAGGUAAAUCAGUUAUUGGAGGUAAAUGGGUUUUCAGAAACAAGAUGGACGAGAAAGGUAAAGUCAUAAGAAACAAAGCAAGACUCGUGGCCAAAGGAUACACACAAGAAGAAGGGAUCGACUAUGACGAGACUUAUGCACCGGUAGCAAGGUUAGAAGCAAUUCGUUUAUUACUUGCAUUUGCUUGUCAUAAAAAUUUUAGGUUAUUUCAAAUGGACGUCAAAAGUGCUUUCCUAAACGGAUUCAUCCAUGAGGAAGUCUAUGUGGAACAACCACCAGGGUUUGAAGACCCAAAGAAACCAGACUCAGUAUUCAGACUCAAAAAGGCCUUAUAUGGCUUAAAGCAAGCACCUCGAGCUUGGUACGACAGAUUAAGUAAGUUUUUAAUUCAAAAUGGAUUUGUUAAAGGUAAAGUGGACACUACUCUUUUUAUUAAAAAAGAAAGCAAAAGUUUUCUGCUUGUUCAAAUAUAUGUCGAUGAUAUUAAUUUUGGAUCCUCUAAUGAAAGUCUGUGCAAGAAAUUUUCAAAGACUAUGCAGGAUGAAUUUGAAAUGAGCAUGAUGGGUGAGUUAACCUUCUUUCUUGGACUUCAAAUAAAACAAUUGGAGGAAGGAACUUUUAUUCAUCAAGAAAAGUAUGCAAAUGAUCUAGUCAAAAAGUUCGGUCUGAACAAUUGCAAAAAUGCCGACAUACCAAUGUCAAGUUCCUUGAAGAUAGACAAAGAUGAAGAAGGGAAGAAAGUCGAUCAAAAGAUGUACAGGAGUAUCAUCGGAUCUCUUCUUUAUCUUACUGCUUCUAGACCUGACAUUUUGUUUAGUGUUUGCAUUUGUGCCAGAUUUCAAUCAGACCCAAAAGAAUCUCAUUUGAAUGCUGCGGAGCGUAUUAUUAAAUAUGUUUCAUCAACUUCAAGCAUCGGUCUAUGGUAUCCUAAGAAGGGAGACUUUAAUCUUAUAGGAUAUUCAGACGCAGAUCUGGCCGGUUGCAGAGUUGAUAGAAAGAGCACUUCGGGAACUUGCCAGUUGCUUGGAAGCAGGAUGGUGUCUUGGUUUUCAAGGAAACAAAGCACUGUGGCUCUUUCAACAACAGAAGCAGAGUAUGUAGCUCUUAGAAGUUGCUGUUUGCAAAUUCUAUGGAUAAAACAACAGCUAAGAGACUUUGAAAUUGAAGACUCAUGCACGGAGAUUAAUUGCGACAACACCAGCGCUAUCAACCUCACCAAAAAUCCAAUUCUCCACUCAAGAGCAAAGUACAUAGAGAUUCGACAUCACUUUAUUAGAGACCAUGUUCAAAAUGGAGAUGUUUCAAUUCAAUUUGUUGACUCAAAAAACCAAUUGGCGGACAUAUUCACAAAGCCUUUGGAGAAAAAUCAAUUUGAAUCUAUCCGUUCCAGACUCAACAUUUUGAGGUAUGAGGAAAUCAAAGUCUAAAGACUUUCAGACUCAGAUACAAGACUUUAUCUGUAAGAUAGUCUUAGUACGACCGUCAGACUGUAAGUCUUUCUCUCUCUAAUUUUAUCUUGAAGAGGUACGAUCGUCAGACUGUGUUUAAAUUGUUGUUAUAUUUAAUCGUCGCAUCAUUUCAUUUUCCAAAAAGAAGUUAUUUUUAAAAUGACUAUUUUUCACGGAAAAAGACAGUUAUUUUAAAAAGGCAUCUUUUUACCUUCCUUUUGUGACGGUUCGUUUAUCUCUCUUUUUAACCGAUCGACUCCUCUUCACUUUACUCUAAAAAACCCUAGAAAGCAUCGAUCCUCCAUUCCCGUUUGUCUUCUUUGUUUAAUCCUAAAAAAAGUUGUCAUCUUUCUUGGGAAAGUCAAGCAAGGAAUCUUCUAAAAACUGAGAAAGAUGUCAUCUUCAAGAAAGUCUUCGAGAAUCGCAAGCAGGGGACCACAGUGAAUGAGUGAGGGGCCUACGCACUUCGAUCUUACUGAAGAAGAAGUGUCUCCAGAACAGCAACCGAGUCCACAACAUUCUCAGCAGCGUCAUUCUCCUCCAUCUAGUCCUCAAGGCGUUGAUCAUCAACAACAGGAAGAAAUCAUCGAGGAUGCAGACCCAGUAAGAGUUCAAAAGCCCGCUUUUAUUUACAAGCUAUAUCGUGCCUUAAAAGGAAUUCAUACUCCUUUGAACUAUGUUGAUGAUUUUCUUAAAGACAAAGGAUAUAAGAACGAAUAUAUCUUUCUGCGAAAAAUGGAAGUUUGGGAAUUGCUCGUAAAGGGGUGGCUGAGGAAACCCUUGCGAAUACCCCAAGUGAUCCUCGUGACUGGGGGCGAAUCCUGUAGAUGGGAAUGAUGAUGACAAUUUGUUUAGGCUAUUUCAACCGAAAAUGGGUAUUGCGGCUGAAAUUCAAGGAAAAAGGGGAGAUUUGUUCAGAUCGAAGGAACAAAAGGAUCUGUACUCGAAAUUGCUGAAGCGUGGGGUAAUAAACCCUAGGAGUGUGGAUUUUGAUUUUCUGGAUGCUGUGAAAGUGAACUUGAGGGAAAAGUUCAGUUAUCUUCAACUUGAAAAGUUCUGCUUUGACUCUACUGAGGCCUAUGUUGGAUUAACUGCAUAUUUCUAUUCAAAUCUUAGCUUUUUGGAUGCGAAUAGAUUCUCUUUCAGCGUUAAAAACCAAGACUAUGUUGUGGAUAUGAAUAUGCUGGCAGAUGUGUUAGAAGUUGAGAGAGGCAGAUAUCAACCAAUCAAAGUUUCCAUUGCUCGGGCCACACUAGAACUGGUGAAGGACAUGAGAACAGAUGAGAAGAUCACCUACUUAAGGAUGAGUGCAUUCAACAUCUUGCUUCACAAGAUUGUGAUUAAUUGCCUUUGACCGAAAUCAACUUCCAAAACUGAUGUUUUAAGUUCAGAGGCAAAGUUGAUGUAUGCCAUCCUCUGUGGAAAAAAUUUUUCUCUCCCUCAUACUGUUAUGUUUCACAUGUAUAGAGCAGUGAUGAAGGACAAAGGUCAACUUCCUUACCCAAACCUUGUUACAAAGUUAUUCAGACACCUGAAUAUUCAGCCUCCACAAAUCUUUUGUGUUCGAUCAUGCGAUCAUAUGGUGGUAGGACUGAAAAUGGUGACCAAAAUGCGUCUGAAGGAACUGAGCAAGGAGUUGGAGAAAUUCAAGGAGAAGACUCCUACCAAAUCUCAUCAAACCUCUUCUGUAGCUAAAAGAAAAGGGAAGGAGCCCAUGGUUGCUCCAUCCAAAAGAAGAAGAGCUCUCCUCGUUGAGGAUGAAGAUGAUGAAGAUGAUAUCACCAUCUCUGCAAUGGCUUUGAAGAAUUUAAGUCGUCCUGUUCCACAGAAAGACUCGGAACAAAUGACAAAAGAAGCAGAGGAGAAGGAUGCAGAGGAGAAGGAAGAAGAAGAUGAUAUAGCUAGUAUAAACACCUAGAGGGGGGGUGAAUAGGCGCACAAACAAUUCUUCUUGAAUACGGAAGCGAUUCUUAAUAGAUUGAAAUAAAGAGAGUAAGGAAGAGAGAAUUAAACACAUGAUUUAUAGUGGUUCGGCUUAUUCCAAGCCUACGUCCACUCUUCCGCACUGACAGCCCACUGGCUGGAUUUCACUAUAAUCAAAAGAGAAGUUACAGCACAGCUUUGCCUUGAUUCCACAGUGUAGAUGUUCUACCACACCUCCUCAAGGUCUCUCACAAAUAUAGACUCUCUUUUGUAUACAAGUAUUCGCUCAAGAGAUUUAUCUAAACAAAUAGGAGCUUCAGACUUUGGAAUUCUUCUAUCGCGCACACCUCGAACAACUAAGAACGACUUCCUUAUAUACUCCUUUGUGCCAUCAAAUCCGUUGGCACUUACCAAAGGAAUUCCUCCAAUCUAACCAUUGGACAUAAUCAAUUAGGAAGAUUGUUCGAGUUAUUAAAUGAACAUGUUGAUAGCCCAUCAAUCCUGUUCGCCCAUACAAUCAGGAUCUCGGUUUCCAUAAGUAGAACCUUCCAAUAAUAUAUAGACAAUCAUCGAAUCUUCAGUCAUUGAAUCAAUCUUGAUCAAUCAAAGGAUUCUGAUACGUCUUCUCCAGCCACGAGAUCUUCUCCAGAUGAUAAGGUUAAAUCCUGAACCAACCACCUAGUUCUGGAUAACCUUUCUUCAACGGAUUCGAGACUGUCAAUGAGGAUAGACUUUGAGUCUUGAGUCUGGCUGUCCGGAAGUCUUCAGACUUUAAACUGACAGAGUCUGCAGACUUUCAGACUAGACCGAAGGAUACGUUUUGUCAACUUCAAAACUCUUCAUGAGGAUUUCUCCAACAAUCUCCCCCUUUUUGAUGGUGACAAAACCUUCCUGCAGAUUUGGAUAACUUUGACCUGCAAAAUAUUUCUCAAACACAUAUGCAUAUCUUAUUGAAAUAAAUGGCUAAUAGAAUAACACUAGAUUCUGCAACCACAGAAAAUAAGUUAGUCCAAUAUAUGAUUAAGCCAUUCAUAAGAUAUCAAUAUUGAUAAAUAGAAGCAGUCAAGUUAAAUCCAAGUCUAGGCAUCCAGACACAAAAACACAGUCAAACCGGUUCAAACCAUAAACCUCAAAUUUGUCCAAAAAGAUUAAUGAAGGUAAAGAGUUUUUGAAUCAAAAUCUUGCAUCUCUCCCCCUUUUUGUCAUCAUUGAAAAGGAUGAGAUGAAGUUGAAGAAAGCUUGGGAACACGGACAAGCUGGAUAUCUUCCAUAGACUGAACGAUGCAUUCCAGCCUCUUAAAGUCUUCCUUCAGCUGAACAACCUCCUCACUCUUAGCAUUGGCCUGAUUCUGAAUAGAGAGGGCUUGCAUCUUGUCAUUCAAUGAACAUGAAGAAGCUUGACUUUCAUUCUUCAAGCUUUGAACUUCGCAUCCCAAGGCAUAAAUCUGACCUUUCAUCUCCAAGAGAAUGUCCAUGAUUCUGCGAAAAUCUGCUCCAUUAUCAGUCUGAGUACUUGCUUCUGCUCGUUCUGAUGGAGUAAAAGCAGAUGAUGGAGGAUCAGCAUAAUCUCGCAGAUUUGGCGAUGAAGCUUCAUGACCUUCCUCUGGAAAUUGAGAUGCAUAGACAUCUUCUGGGUCUGCAGGCGAGCGACUGACUCCUUCACUUUCAUCUCGAUAUGAAGAUGUCACUCCUUUCUCCUGAUCUCCCCCUGUUUCAAUGCCUACGGGAGGAGAAGAGAUUCCUUCAGGUUCUCCUUCUCUUCUUUCUUCUUUAGAUCUUGCUUGAUCUGCUUCUUGCACUUUUUCUCUUUCUUCAUUUUUCUUCUUCUCUGCUUCUUUUUCUUCUUCUUCCUUCUCCUCUGCUUCUUUCGUCAAUUGUUCCGAAUCAUUCUCUGGAACAGGACGACUCAAGUUUUUCAAUGCCAUUUCAGAGAUGGUGAUGUCGUCGUCAUCAUCUUCAUCCUCAACGAGGAGAGCUCUUCUUUUCUUUGAUGGAGCAACCAUGGGCUCCUUCCCUUUUCUCUUAGCAGAAGAGAGUUGAUGAGACUUGGCAGGAGUCUUCUCCUUGAAUUUCUCCAAUUCCUUGCUCAGUUCCUUCAGACGCAUUUUGGUUACCAUUUUCAGUCCUACCACCAUAUGAUCGCAUGAUCGAACACAAAGGAUUUGUGGAGGCUGAAUAUUCAGAUGUCUGAAUAACUUCGUAACAAGGCUUGGAUAAGGGAGUUGACCUCUGUCCUUCAUCACUGCUCUAUACAUGUGAAACAUGAUAGUAUGAGGAAGAGAAAACUUCUUUCCACAGAGGAUAGCAUACAUCAGCUUUGCCUCAGGGCUUGAAACAUCAGUUUUGGAAGUAGAUUUCGGCCGAAGGCAAUUAAUCACAGUUUUGUGAAGCAGGAUGUUGAAUGCAUUCAUCCUUGAGUAGGUGAUCUUCUCUUCUGUUCUCCUAUCCUUCACCAGUUCAAGUGUAGCACGAGCAAUGGAAACCUUUAUCGGUUGAUAUCUCCCUCUCUCAACUUCCAACACAUCAGCCAGCAUAUCCAUAUCAACAACAUAAUCUUGAUCUUUGACACUGAAGGAAAAUCUAUUCGCAUCUAAAAAGCUAAGAUUUGAAUAGAAAUAUGCAGUCAGUUCAGCAUAGGCCUCUGUUGAGUCAGAACAGAAUUUUUCCAGUUGGAGAUAACUGAACUUUUCCCUCAAGUUCACUUUCACAGCAUCCAGAAAAUCAAAGUCCACACUUCUAGGGUUUAUCACCCCACGCUUCAGUAAUUUCGAGUAUAGAUCCUUUUGUUCCUUUGAUCUGAACAAAUCUCCCAUUUUUCCUUGAAUUUCAGCCGCAAUACCCAUUCUCGGUUGAAAUAAACUGAACAUAUUGUCAUCAUCAUUCCCAUCUACAGGAUUUGGCCCCCAGUCACGAGGAUCACUUGGUAUAUUUGCAAGGGUUUCCUCAGCCACCCCUUUUCGAGCAAUUCCCAAACUUUCCAUUCUUUUCAAAAAGAUAUAUUCGUUCCUAUAUCCUUUUUCCUUAACAAACUGAUCAACAUAAUUCAAAGGAGUACGAAUUCCUUUUAAAGCUCGAUAUAGCUUAUAGAUAAAAGCAGGCUUUUGAGAUCUUACGGGUUCUGCUUCCUCAAUGAUUUCUUCCUGUUGAACAACACCUUGAGGACUAGAUGGUGGAGAGUGACGCUGCUGAGAAUGUUGUGGAAUCGGAUGCUGAUCUGGAGAAACUUCAUCUUCUGUGAGAUCAAAGUGAGUAGGCCCUUCACUCAUUCUCUGUGGUCCCCUGCUUGCGAUUCUUGAGGACUUUCUUGAAAACGACAUCUUUCUCAGUGAAUGGAAGAUUCCUUGCUUGUCUUUCCGAGAAAAGAUGAAAACUUUUUAAGAAUGAACGAAGGAGACAACCAGAAGUGGAGAAUCGAUGUUUUCUAGGGUUUUGAGAGUAAAGAGAAUAGAAAAGUGAAGAGUAAUCGAUAGUGCUCGUUCGGUUAAAAAGAGAAGUAAACGAAUCGUCACAAAGGAAAUAAAAUAUUCCUCUUCAAAAUAACUGCCUUUAUCCGGAAAAAAUAGCUAUUCCAAAAGUAACUUCCCUUUUUGAAAAUGAAUCGUUGCAAAAUUUACGGUUAAAUAUAGCAACAAUUUAAACAGAGUCUGAUGAUCGUACCUUUUAAAGAUAACAUUGGAGAGAGAAAGACUUACAGUCUGAAGGUUGAGACAAGACUGUAGAUAAAGUCUUAUAAGCCUGAGUCUGAAGGUCUUUAGACUUUGAUAUCCUCAUACCUCAAAAUGUUGAGUCUGGUCCGUAUAGACUCAAAUUGAUUUUUGUCCAAAGGCUUUGUGAGAAUAUCAGCCAGUUGAUUCUUUGAGUCAACGAAUUGAAUUGUGACAUCUCCAUUUUGAACAUGAUCUCUUAUGAAGUGAUGUUGAGUCUCUAUAUGCUUUGCUCUUGAGUGGAGUAUUGGAUUUUUGGUGAGGUUGAUAGCGCUGGUGUUGUCGCAAUUAAUCUCUGUGCAUGAGUCUUCAAUUUCAAAAUCUCUUAGCUGUUGUUUUAUCCAUAGAAUUUGCGAACAGCAGCUUCCAAGAGCUACAUACUCUGCUUCUGUUGUUGAAAGAGACACAGUACUUUGUUUCCUUGAAAACCAAGACACUGUUCUGCUUCCAAGCAACUGGCAAGUUCCUGAAGUGCUCUUUCUAUCAACUCUGCAACCGGCCAGAUCUGCAUCUGAAUAACCUAGAAGAUUAAAGUCUCCCUUCUUAGGAUACCAAAGACCGAUGCUUGAUGAUGAAGCGACAUAUUUGAUGAUGCGUUUCGCAGCACUGAGAUGAGAUUCUCUAGGAUCUUAUUGAAACCUUGCACAGAUGCAAACACUCAACAAAAUAUCAGGUCUAGAAGCAGUAAGAUAAAGAAGUGAUCCGAUAAUGCUCCUGUACAGCUUUUGAUCAACUUUAUUCCCUUCUUCAUCUUUGUCUAUCUUUAAAGAACUUGACAUUGGUAUGUCGACCUUUUUGCAAUUCUCCAGUCCAAACCUUUUGACAAGAUCAUUAACAUAUUUUUCUUGAAAAAUAAAAGUUCCUUCUUUCAAUUGCUUUAUUUGAAGACCAAGAAAGAAUGUUAGUUCUCCCAUCAUACUCAUUUCAAACUCCUCCUGCAUAGACUUUGAAAAUUUCUUGCACAUACUUUCAUUAGAGGAUCCAAAAAUGAUAUCAUCUACAUAUAUUUGAACAAGUAAGAAACUUUUGUUUUCCUUCUUGAUAAAUAAAGUCGUAUCUACUUUACCUUUGACAAAACCAUUUUGUAAAAGGAAAUUGCUUAACCUGUCGUACCAAGCUCGAGGUGCUUGCUUUAAACCGUACAAAGCCUUUUUCAGUCUGAAGACUGAGUCUGGCUUCUUUGGGUCUUCAAACCCUGGCGGUUGUUCCACAUAAACUUCCUCAUGGAUGAAUCCAUUUAGAAAUGCGCUUUUGACGUCCAUUUGGAAUAACCUGAAAUUCUUAUAACAAGCAAACGCAAGUAAUAGUCGAAUAGCUUCUAACCUUGCCAUUGGAGCGUAAGUCUCAUCAUAGUCUAUUCCUUCUUCUUGCGUAUAUCCCUUGGCCACGAGUCUGCUUUAUUCGUACGACUUUCCUUUCUCGUCAUCUGUUUCUGAACACCCAUUUGGCUCCAAUAACAGUUUACCUUUUGGUUUGGAUGUCAAUUCCCAGACAUCAUUAUGCUGAAUGUCUGAGCUCUUCUUGCAUAGCUUCAAUCCAGCUUUCAUCAGAUAAAGCUUCUUCUAUGCUUUUUGGUUCAAUUUCAGAAACAAGAGCCACAGCACUAGACUCUUCUCGCCUUUUGGAUCUGGUGCGAAUUCCUUCAUUCAUUUCACCAAUUAUAAGAUCUUUGGGAUGACUGGAUUUAUGCUUCCAGUUACUUGUUGAUUUGUCUGGUUGAUGAUCUUUUUCUUUAUCUGGAUCUUCACUAACAACCUGAUGCUGGUUUUCCAGAGUCUGAGAUGCUUCUUGAGUUGUAGACUUUGGAGGGUCUGGAGCCGGUUCAGACUCUUCUUGAUGAGUCUGACUUGAUUCAUCUUGCGUUGAGUCUUGAAAUUUGACAUUCAUUGACUCCUCUACAGACUGACUUUUCUUGUUAUAGACUCUGUAAGCUUUGCUUGAAGUAGAAUAUCCAAGGAAGAUACCUUCAUCUGAUCUUUCUUCAAACUUACCAACACGAUCUUUUGCAUUUUUCAAUAUGAAACAUUUGCAACCAAAUACAUGAAAGUAUGAAACAAUAGGCUUCUUUUCUUUGAAUAACUCAUAAGGGGUUUUCUGAAGAAUAGAUCUUAAGAAGACUCUAUUGAUGAUAUAGCAAGCUGUUGAAACAGCUUCAGCCCAAAAUCGAGAAGAAAUUUUACUUUCAAUUAGAAGAGUUCUAGCCAUUUCUUGAAGAGAUCUGUUCUUUCUUUCCACAACUCCAUUUUGCUGAGGAGUAUAUGGAGAAGAAAACACAUGUUUACAUCCAGAUUCAUCACAGAAUUUUGUAAAAUCUUGAUUUUCAAAUUCUCCUCCAUGAUCUGUUUUUAUACAAGAGAUCACACAACCUUUUUCAUUUUGAACCUUUUUAGCAAGAUUUUUCAAAAUACGAAAAGGUUUUGGACUUACUUGAGAGGAAAUAUACCCAAGUAAAACGGGAGUAAUCAUCAACAAUUACUAGACAAUACUUCUUACCCCCAAUACUCUGAGUCCUUGUUGGUCCGAAGAGAUCCAUAUGUAACAACUGUAGAACAUGAUUAGUAGAGACAUAAUUUAUUGGUUUAAAUGAAUUUCUUACCUGCUUACCCAGAAUACAUGGAGUGCAUGAAUCAGUCUUUUGGUAUGGUAAUUUGGGUAGACCUCGAACAAGCUGCUUUGAUGAGAUUUUGGCUAAUUGCUUUAUGUUGACAUGACCAAGCUUUUUGUGCCAUAAGCUUGCUUCGUCUUGAAUUGAGAUAAGACAUUGCGAUUCAUUUGGUUUCACAUCCAGAAGAUAGAUGUUUCCAUGUCUUCGACCCAGAAAAGAUUGAGUAGAGUCUUUACUGACUCCUGAACAUGUUCCUUCUUGAAAGAAGAUCUUGAAACCAGUAUCACACAAUUGACUAAUGCUGAGAAGAUUGUAAUUGUGUCUUUCCACCAAGGAAACAUUACUUAUUGUGAGAGUCCCAAUUUUCACUGUUCCAAAUCCCACAAUACUUCCUUUGUUGUUUCCUCCAAAUGAAACUUUUCCACCAUUUACUUGAGCAAGCUUUAUAAAGCAAUUCGAGUCUCUUGUCAUGUGUCUUGAGCAACCACUGUCAAGAUACCACUUUACCUGUUUCUUGAUGGAGACCUGCAUUUAAUAAAGAGUCUCAAGCUUUCUUUGGUACCCAAACUUUCUUGGGUCCUUUGGUGUUAGUAAGAUAAACAUUAUUAGCCCAUACUCUUUUAAUAGGUUUCCAUACCAAAGGACACUCUUUUUCAAAGUGUUCCUUACUGUCGCACUUAGAACAUCUGAGAGAAUUUCUUCCUACAGGUUUUACAAAAACUUUCUUGAAAUGAUUUUUGUAAACUUCACUCGAAAGCCUUUUCUUAAUUAUUUCUUUUACUUUAGGAAAAUCAAUUAAUGGAAUUGUUUCUUCUGUCAUACCUAGACCAGACUUAUUAAAGUAAGGUCUUUGUGCUGAAAGAAUUUUCUCAAGUUUUUCAGACCCUAUUGAAAAUUUCUUUGAUAUAUUAGAUAAGUCUGUUUUUAAGAAAGCAUUUUCUUUUAAAAGAUUUCCUUCUUUUUCUUUAAGAUUAGAAAUAGACGAGUCUAAGCUUUUAACUCUUUCUGUUAAAUCAUUUUCCUUUUGUUUUAGAGCUAAGUUUUCCCUUUUUAAUUUGGAAAUACUUUUGAGAGAAGUCUUAAGACUUAAGCAUAAUUCAUCAAUAUAUUUAGAAACUUUGACAGGAAUCUUAAAAUUACUUGCCUCGAAUUCACUGUCUGAGUCUGAUCCUGAGUCUGAUCCAGAGUCUGAGUCUGAUCGUGCCAUCAGACAUAGAUUUGCAUAUUCAUUAUCACUUUCUUCACACUCAGUAUCACUCCAGGUUUCAGCUUUGAGAGCUUUUCGAAACUUUUCAGCUUUUCCUUUCUUCUUCUUUAGAAGAGGACAGUUGGGUCUGAUGUGUCCCUUCUUCUUGCAUUCAAAGCAGACUACAUCUUUAUUUGGUUCCUCAUCAUCAACAGACUUGAUCUGCUGUCUUUGAAAGCCUGGUUUCUUUGAGUUGAACCUUCUCCCUUUUCUAUUUAGUUUUUUGAAUUUUCUUAUCAUGAGAGCAAGCUCCUCAUCGUCCAUAUCAUCUUCAGAAUCUGUAACAUCAGAAUCAUCAUUUGAUUUUAAUGCAAUGGAUUUCUUACCUCUUGGAUCUUCUUCUUCAUUGAUCCUUUCCACUUCAUAGGACUGAAGUGUUCCAAUCAGCUCAUCAACAGAUAGUGGCAUAAUUCUCUGCAUCUCUCUUAUCGAAGUCUUUAUGUGAUUCCAAUCCUUGGAGAGUCCACGCAGAAGUUUGUUUACCUUCAUGGGAUCAGAAGUUGGUUGACCUUGAUUUUCAAGACCAUUCACAAUAUCUGUAAAACGACUAAACAUGUCAGAUAUUGAUUCUCCUGGUUUCAUUCUAAAGGCUUCAUAUUGACCGAGAAGAAUGUUGAUUCUUGUUUCCUUCACUCGAUCUGUUCCUUCAUAGGUGAUAUGCAGUCUGUCCCAAACUUCUUUUGCUGUACCACAAGAAGAUAUUCUAUUAUACUCAGUUGGUGAUAAAGCACAAUAUAAGGAGUAAAUUGCUUUUGCAUCGAGUGUUUGUCUUUUGGUUAUUUCUUCCUGAGACAAUCCGCUGGAUUCUUCAGUAUCUUUUCCUCUUUCAGAGACUGGUGCAGUGGUAGGAAUUAUUCCUUUUUCUACAACAUCCCAUUCCAGAGGAUCCUUUGAUCGUAGGAAAGCUUUCAUCUUGUUCUUCCAGAUGUUGUAAUCCUUUCCAUCAAAGUAAGGUGGUCUGGUAUUGCUUUACCCUUCCAUCAGCCCUGGUGCUAGCAUACUAGCCAUGGAUCUUUUACUAUGAAGUAAAACACUUCAAAUAAAGUAAGUACACAGGCUCUGAUACCAAUUGAUAUAGCUAGUAUAAACACCUAGAGGGGGGGUGAAUAGGCGCACAAACAAUUCUUCUUGAAUACGGAAGCGAUUCUUAAUAGAUUGAAAUAAAGAGAGUAAGGAAGAGAGAAUUAAACACAUGAUUUAUAGUGGUUCGGCUUAUUCCAAGCCUACGUCCACUCUUCCGCACUGACAGCCCACUGGCUGGAUUUCACUAUAAUCAAAAGAGAAGUUACAGCACAGCUUUGCCUUGAUUCCACAGUGUAGAUGUUCUACCACACCUCCUCAAGGUCUCUCACAAAUAUAGACUCUCUUUUGUAUACAAGUAUUCGCUCAAGAGAUUUAUCUAAACAAAUAGGAGCUUCAGACUUUGGAAUUCUUCUAUCGCGCACACCUCGAACAACUAAGAACGACUUCCUUAUAUACUUCUUUGUGCCAUCAAAUCCGUUGGCACUUACCAAAGGAAUUCCUCCAAUCUAACCGUUGGACAGAAUCAAUUAGGAAGAUUGUUCGAGUUAUUAAAGGAACAUGUUGAUAGCCCAUCAAUCCUGUUCGCCCAUACAAUCAGGAUCUCGGUUUCCAUAAGUAGAACCUUCCAAUAAUAUAUAGACAAUCAUCGAAUCUUCAGUCAUUGAAUCAAUCUUGAUCAAUCAAAGGAUUCUGAUACGUCUUCUCCAGCCACGAGAUCUUCUCCAGAUGAUAAGGUUAAAUCCUGAACCAACCACCUAGUUCUGGAUAACCUUUCUUCAACGGAUUCGAGACUGUCAAUGAGGAUAGACUUUGAGUCUUGAGUCUGGCUGUCCGGAAGUCUUCAGACUUUAAACUGACAGAGUCUGCAGACUUUCAGACUAGACCGAAGGAUACGUUUUGUCAACUUCAAAACUCUUCAUGAGGAUUUCUCCAACAGAAGAAAGAGAAGCUGAAAAAGAAGCAGAGGAGGAAAGACUUGAAGAAGAAAGAAGAGAAGAAGGAGAACCUGAGGAACUCUCUUCUCCACUUGAAGGCAUGAAAUCAGGGGGAGAUCAAGAGAAAGGAGGGAAGUCCUCAUAUCCUGAUGCAAGUGAAGGAGUCAGUCACUCACCUAUAGACCCAGAGGAUGUUUAUACCUCUCAAUUUCUAGAAGAAUGUCAUGAAGUUUCAUCGCCAACCCUGCGAGAUUAUGCUGAUCUACCAUCGUCUGCAUUUACUCCAUCAGAUCGGGCAGAAGCAAGUACUCAGACUGAUAAUGCAGCAGAUUUUCGCAGAAUCAUGGAUGUUCUCUUGGAGAUGCGAGGUCAAAUUUAUGCCUUGGGAUGCGAGGUUCAAAACCUGCAGAAUGCGGGUCAAGUUUCUUCAUGUUCAUUGAAUGAUAAGAUCCAAGCCCUCUCUGUUCAGAUCCAGGCCAAUGCCAAGGGUGAGGAGAUUGCACAACUGAAGGAAGACUUGAAAAGACUGGAAGGCAUCGUUCAGUCUAUGGAAGAUUUCCAGCUUGUCCGCAUUCCCAAGAGAUCUUGACUUCAUCUCAACCUUUUUAAUGCUGACAAAAAGGGGGAGAGAUGCAAGAUUUGAUCAAACUUUCAAUCAUUAAACUUUUUUUAAUCAUGUGGUUUGUUGAACUGUUUUGUUGUUGAACUCUGUUUGACUUUGUUUUGUGUCUGGAUAAGAACUGGACAAGACUUGGACUUGACUGCUUCUAUUAACUACUAUUGAUAUCUUAUGGAUGGCUUUAUCUCAUACUAGACUAACCUAUUUUCUGUGGUUGCAGAUUCUAGUGUUAUUCAUUUAGCCAUUUAUCUCUAUAAGAUAUGCAUAUGUGUUUGAGAAAUGUUUUGCAGGUCAAAGUUAUCCAAAUCUGCAGGAAAGUUUUGUCACCAUCAAAAAUGGGGAGAUUGUUGGAGAAAUCUUCUUGAAGUGUUUUGAAGCUGACAAAACGUUUCUAUCAGUCUAGUCUAAAGGCUUGCAGACUCUUCUAUUUAAAGUCUGAAGACCUCCAGACAGCCAGACUCAAGACUCAAAGUCUAUCAUCAUUGACAGUCUCUAAUCCGUUGAAGAAAGGCUAUCCAGAAUUGGAUGUUUCGUCAAGGAUUUAACCUUAUCAACUGGAGAAGAUCUCGUGGCUGGAAAAGAUGUAAUGGAAUCCUUUGAUUGAUCGAGAUUGACUCGAUGAUUGAAGAUCCGGUGAUUGCCUAAAUAUUAUUGGAAGGUUCUACUUAUGGAAACCGAGAUCCUGAUUGUAUGGGUGAACAUGAUUGAUGGGCUAUCAACACGUUCCUUUAAUAGCUUGAACGAUCUUCCUAAUUGAUUCCGUCCAACGGGUAGAUUGGAGGAAUUCCUUUGGUAAGUGCCAACGGGUAUGAUGGCAUAAAGGAGUAUAUAAGGAAGACGGUCUUAGUUGUUGAGGUGUGCGCGAUAGAAGAAUUCCAAAGUCUGAAGCUCUUUUUUGUUUAGACAAUUCCUUUGAGCGAAUACUUGUAUACAAAAGAGAGUCUAUAUUUGUGAGAAACCUUGAGGAGGUGUGAUAGAACAUCUACACUGUGGAAUCAAGGCAAAGCUGUGCUGUAACUUCUCUUUUGAUCAUAGUGAAAUCCAGCCGGUGGGCUGUCAGUGCGGAAGAGUGGACGUAGGCUUGGAAUAAGCCGAACCACUAUAAACCCCGUGUUCAAUUUUCUCUUCCUUACUCUCUUUACUUUGAUCGUACUUCAUUUUCGCUAAUCAUAGUAACUUUAUUGUAUCAUUUGCAAAGAAUAGCCUCCGUAUCUCGAUAAAUGUUUGGCACCUAUUCACCCCCCUCUAGGGUGAUUAUACUAGCUAUCACAACAGUCACUUCAUUCAUAUCUCACAUCAGAACCACAUGUACAUGCGGUUGUCUUUAGUUUAAAUGUCCCAUGUAAAAAUGCCAACCCUUCUUUUAUCCCUAGUUAGCAUGAUCUUGCUAUUCCAAAGGUCCAGAACAAGAAUCAACACCUUGCAUGGCAUAAAAAAAUCUAAUGAUUGAAUGAACAUAAGAUAAAAUGAGAAGAUAAUUUUUCUAGACAGGAUGAAUUUGAUCGACAUUUUAGCCCUUGGUCAAAUUUGACAUGUAAAUUUGAUUAAGAAAUCCAAAAUGGCUAGGGAAUCUUGUGAAUAAAUAUAUCAAUGGAUCAUAAACAUGCUAAAGAUUUAACAUGAAAAGAAUCGUUAAGGGACUAAGAUGACUAAAGUUUAGGGGAUUUCCCAAAUAGUACAUAUGGCUUGUUUCAGCCAAUUGUUUCUUAAGCUGAGGAUCCUCGUGGAUAAUAUGAAAUGGAAAGACUUUGCAUAAGGGAGUAGACAGAACCAAAUAGAUUUAAAAGAAGGAAGCAAAUCAUUCUUCAAAAGUAUCACUUCGAGACAAUUGUAAAUCAGAUUUGCUAGUGAUAGUUGUCGCAACCUACAUUUUUCUCUUCAAAGGGGAAAAUAAAUAAAUUUAGAGGUAUUGCCUAAAAAGCGGACCUACAUUCCUCAAUUAAGGAUGAGCUCUUUCAAGCCCAUACUUUAUGCGACAUUGUGAUGUUCAAUUUUAGCUUUAAUUGAUGCUAUAAGAAUUUUAUAAUAAGGAGUCGCCACUAGAUUAUUAUGGUUGGCUUAAAAUCAAGUAAGGCAUGGAAAUAUAUCUUACUUCCUACACAAUUAGAGAAUUUUAGGUUGGGGACUUGGUUAUACCAAUUAAUUAAGUAGUGCUCUCUUGGUAUCUAAUCUUAUUCAAUUCAAGAAGAUGUUUUUCAAGCAAUGUUGAUUGAUUUUUAGUUAUCCACCAAUAUGUGAGGUGAUUACAAAGGUGUACAAUCAUUAAAAUAACAAUCAUUGAUUAAGGAAGCAUUAAAUAAAUUACAAAGGAAAACAAGAAUCUAACACUAAGAGAGAAGAAAAAUCUCAUUCCCUACUAAGCUAAAGGGAACAUAUUGAAAGUGCUCAAUCAAGGAAUAGGAACGUAACGUUUGUCUCUAAGGAUGCUCAAAUCCUAUGGUAAAACUCUAAAAGCUAGUUCGAUUUUGAGCAUGAAUUUUCUAUUAUCAAUGAUUUUCACACAUUUUGAGAGAGAAAUUCUCAAAGACUAAUUUUUAACCUUUUUUUUUUCCUAAUUUUAGGAUUUUUUAAUUCUUAAAAUAAUUUUUGUAAAAAAAUAUUUUCCCGAAAAUAGGGUCUUCGAAAUAGGGUCUUCGGGUAGGGCCAUGGACACAAAAUUGGGUUCUCAACCCAUAACAAACCAAUUAAAUUUAAACCCAGCCCAAACUGACAUAUAAGUCCGGGCUCAUUUAACCUAAACCAACCCCCACUUAAGCCUACGUUGUCCUCCCUCACCCCUCUUCUCUUCUUUUUCAGCAUAACGUGAGAAGAGAGAGAGAGAGAGAGAGAGAGAGAGCACGCCCAAACAUGACGGAACCUCACCAUUGCCGGAACAUCAACAGCGGGAUCCCUUCACAUCACACCAGAGCAUCAGAGGGGCGCACGAAAUUUCAGAGAAAGUUUAAUCAAGACCGAAAACUGAAGCGCUAGAACAUGAGCCCCAAGGUUCACAGUGAAUGAACAAUAUACGCCCCAUCGCCAGACCGACUGACCAUCAAUUUUCGCCUCCAACGUCAGCCGAUUAACACCCAUACGCCCAUACCAAAUCAACGGCCAACAUCCCACGUCCCAGUCGGCCUCCAC
rnacentral:lncRNA from 1 species